rnacentral:lncRNA from 1 species
CAAUUGCAUAAAUAUUAGGGGAUUUGGAUGCAAGAACUUGCAGCACUUCUUUCUCGAACUCAUUGAAUGUAUUGAAGAUUAUUGAAGAUGAAUUUAAGCAUUCUUGUCAUACUUCCAUGACGAAAUUCAACAUGAUGUCGUCGGGAUCGGUGGUUCUUAUGAAGCUUGGAAUGUCCUUAAUGCGCAUGUUAGGCAUACCAGGGAUCCAAUCAAUGGGCAUUUCAAGUUUCCCGUCGCUAACAAAGUGUUCAUCUGUAAGAAAAAGAAAACCAAUGUUUUUGUUCCAAUAUGCAAAAGAACACAUGGAAUACUCUACAAAUUACAUGUAACAUAGAGAACCUCAAAGAUAUUAUUUUCAUGAGUGACCAUUAAGAUAUCCCAAAUUAAGUUACAAGCACAAAAGAAAACAUAAAUUUCUAACCUUUGAAUGGAACAAUACCUCUUUGAGCUAGUUCUUUGUACUGCAAAUAUCCCAAAAAGCUAAUAGCCGAAGACAUCCAGAGUUGAACAUAAGGCACCCCAAUGAGUUGAGCAGCCUUGGUACCAAAGUUCAUGAGGCCAUCACAAACUAUGCAAGUAACAGGCGGCACUUGCGGUGAGGAAUUAAGCUUAGAUAGUAGCUUCAUGAAUGGAGCCAAACAGGUUUUUCGUGUAGAAUCGCAUAGUGCUGGAACGCACUGAGUUGCAUCGGAAUCGGAAGGUGGCAACCAGGGAUUUAACUUGCGGUCGCGGUCGCGUUUUCGGUCGCAUCGCGUUUGUCGCAGUUGCGGACAUAACAGACGCUAUUGCGGUCACUGCAGGUAUCGCGGUCGUGAAUUUUUUUCAAAUUCGCACAACUUAUUGUAAAACAUAGUAAUUAUAAUUAUAAUUAUAAAAAGUCACUUUUAAUGAUUUUUAGAGUGUUUUCUAACACUUAUGAACCUUUAUUAAUAUGAUAUGAGAACACGGCUUUUAUAAUCAUUAAUUAUUCUUACAUUUAUUUACGAAUUUUCUAAGAAUGUUAUAUUAACUAAUAACAAAGUAAAAAAAAGGAAAUAUUAAACAUUUAUCAUAUUUAAUAAGUUUGAAAGUUUUUAUAGAUAAAAGAAUUGAAAAUUCAUACCUGAGAGAUGUCUUCAAUAUUUCUUGACAGCUUUGAAGAUGGUGAAGAUAUAAACAUUCUAUGCUGCAAAAGGAAAAAAGGAAUAGAUAAAUUAAUGUAUAGAUUCUCAUUAAUUAUUCCUAUUUCCUACCACUUAUUCUCACUCUCAUUCUACUUUUAUAUAUAAUUUAACAUGCUUCGAUUCUUAAUUAUCUUUUCAUAAAAUAUACUCUAUUCAUUUAUCUAAAGAUAUAUAUUAUUUUAAAUGUUUUAAUAUCAUCAAAAUUAAGAACAAUAACGAAACUUUUCUUUAAAAAUAAAACAUACCUUACAAAUAAUGAUAGUGGUACGAUUUAGUUUUCACCAAUUAGUGGAAUGACGAGGAAGAUCAAAUCCUUCACCUUCACUUUGGGAGCGUUCUUGACUUGAUUCUCUUGGCCUUUNNNNNNNNNNNNNNNNNNNNNNNNNNNNNNNNNNNNNNNNNNNNNNNNNNNNNNNNNNNNNNNNNNNNNNNNNNNNNNNNNNNNNNNNNNNNNNNNNNNNNNNNNNNNNNNNNNNNNNNNNNNNNNNNNNNNNNNNNNNNNNNNNNNNNNNNNNNNNNNNNNNNNNNNNNNNNNNNNNNNNNNNNNNNNNNNNNNNNNNNNNNNNNNNNNNNNNNNNNNNNNNNNNNNNNNNNNNNNNNNNNNNNNNNNNNNNNNNNNNNNNNNNNNNNNNNNNNNNNNNNNNNNNNNNNNNNNNNNNNNNNNNNNNNNNNNNNNNNNNNNNNNNNNNNNNNNNNNNNNNNNNNNNNNNNNNNNNNNNNNNNNNNNNNNNNNNNNNNNNNNNNNNNNNNNNNNNNNNNNNNNNNNNNNNNNNNNNNNNNNNNNNNNNNNNNNNNNNNNNNNNNNNNNNNNNNNNNNNNNNNNNNNNNNNNNNNNNNNNNNNNNNNNNNNNNNNNNNNNNNNNNNNNNNNNNNNNNNNNNNNNNNNNNNNNNNNNNNNNNNNNNNNNNNNNNNNNNNNNNNNNNNNNNNNNNNNNNNNNNNNNNNNNNNNNNNNNNNNNNNNNNNNNNNNNNNNNNNNNNNNNNNNNNNNNNNNNNNNNNNNNNNNNNNNNNNNNNNNNNNNNNNNNNNNNNNNNNNNNUUCUCAUGAAGCCAUUCUGAUAGUGGAUGAAGCCAUUGUGAUAGUGGAUCAACAUCUUCAAAGAUAUAAUCAAGCAUUUAUAUCAUCAGUGCUCAUUCUUUUUUGAUGCCUCAUCUUAAGCCUCAUAUUAUAAUAGAUAAACACUAGUUUUUCAAGUUUUUUAUACUUUAACCUAUUUCUUGCCUUGGUGUCAGUAUAACUAAAUGUGCUCCAAUUUCGUUCGCAAUUUGAUGCUGAAGUUGUUUGACUGAGCACUUUAAUUGCUAAUUUUUGUAAUUCGGGAACACAUGUGCCGUAUAUUAUCCACCACUCAGCUGUAUUAUCCACCACUCAGCUGCAUAAUAUUAUUUAAAUUUCAAAAUAACUUAAAUAAUAUAAUUAUAAAUUAUAAAUUAAAUUAAAUAAUUUAAUUAACUGUUUACCCGGAUUCAUUUGCUUCCAAGCUCUUUGUGCUUGUGGAGUACCGAAUGUCUCAUGUUUAUCUCUAAAUAGUAACAACUGUAUAAAUAAAAGAUAAAGUAAAAAUAAAAAUAAAAAUAAAAAUUCUAUUUCAAAUUAUGUAACUAAGUUACAAAUAAUAGUACUUGAAUCUAACUUGAUUAACCUUCUGACUUGAGUAUCAAGAGAAGGUUCAAAUCUUUCAAUUACUGAUCGUGUACCUUCUAAUGUUUCUAUUAGUACAUUCUCAGAAUGCUCCACCCCAAAUUGAAAUUGAGGAUUGAGAAAAUAACCUAAGUAUAAUUUAUAAGAAUAUCAUCAAAUAAUAAUAAUCUAAAGCUUAAAAUAAUAAAAUAUAAAAAUAGUUCUUAAUUAUAUGAAACAUUUUAUCUUACCAGCUGAAUGCAAGUCAGAAUGUAUAAAAUUCCAUCUAUUAUCAAUAAUAUUUUCAUACUCUGUGAAAUAUCGACAAUCUUAUUGAAUUGCUCAUUUAGCUCUAUCAACAGCCUCAUAAAUAAAGCCCAUCGUUGGUUUUUCAUCGCUAUCCACAAGUCUCAAUACUCUUACUAAGGGCUCGUAAACUUUUAUGAGGUCAUUGGCUUUUUUCCAAAAAUCUUUUGCCAAAACAAUUUUUUUGGCUUCAUAAGCAGGCCCUGACUUUUGCUGCCCCCAUUUUGAUUCUUUAAAUUCCUAUAUAUUCAUAAGAAAUUUUUUUAAAUAAUAUAAUUAAAUUAUUUGGAACUAAUAAAAUCACUAAAGGUUACUAUAUGUAAGUAAUUAUAUUAACUAAUUAUAAAAUACUGACCUUUGAAUUAAACAUUUCUCUCAGACCUUGCUUUUAUCUUGUUAUCUCUUCAAGUUGAAUGAAAUGAGCUGCAAAUCGAGUAAGAGCGGGUCGAAGUAUUUGUUUCCCUUGUGUAUACUUCUUCAUCAAAUCAACAGUCCAAAUGUGAUUGUAUAUAAAGCAAGUCACUUUCUUUGCCUCAUCUAACACUUUUGCUACACUGGGCUUUUUCCCAAUAUCUUCAAGGCAUAAAUCUAAACAGUGAGCUGUACAUGAGGUCCAAUAUAGAUGUUUUCUUUUCAACAUUAAUUUUUUUCCAGCAGCUUUCAUUGCUGCCUCAUUAUCAAUCACUAUUUGGACAAUGUAAUUUUCUCCAAUUUCUUCUACAACUGAAUCUAACAAACAGUAGUAGAAUUCAGCAUCUCUACUACGGACACUUGAGACAUCUACCGAUUUCCAAAAAAUGGUUCCUUUAUUGCAAUAAACAAGGAAAUUAAUGAUGUGCAUUUGAUUCAAAAUGUUGGUCCAACCAUCACACAUUAGAGUUGCACCCAAUUCUUUCCAAUGAGUCUUUAGUCCAUUUACCCAAUCACGAACUCGUUGAUACUCUGACUCCAAAUACACAUCUAAAACCUCAUAAGGUGUUGGGAGCUUUACACCUUGUCCAACUUCUGUUGACACUUGAAUUAAGUUAUACAACCAUGGAGAGCUUGUUAAUUGAAAAGGAAGUCUUUCAUAUAUUAAAAAUUUAGAUACUGCUUCACUUAUCUUUCUUCGAAAACUCUUUAAAAAAGAGCCAUUGAACUUUGGUUGCUUUGAACUUUUGCUUCUAACCAAUUCCGGUAUAGCUCCCCUUAAGGUAAACUCAGACUCACUUGGGAUGGAUUUACGUGUUCUUUCUCUAGCUAAUCCUUGAGAAGAUUGCCCUUCUUCAUAAAUGUUAUCCCAACCACCAGUACUUCGUCUGAAUUCUUCCCUUCUAUGCCACUCAUAUUGUGAUUGGAUACUUUCUUGAGUUGCUUGCCUUAUAGCAGAAAUCUCAUCAAUGAAUUCCUCGUGUUCAUCCUCCUCUUCUCUCAAUUGAGAUAAGAAUUCAUCUUUUCUCCUCUUUUUGUCUACUUUCUUUGUGUUUCCUUCUUUCAGCAUAUUCAUCAUACUUUCUCUAAUGACACCUGUUAAUAAAAUAAAAAUAAUUCACACUUUAUAUUAUUAUCAAUUAUAUAUAAUCUUUAUUGAUAAAUUUACAAUAACAUUUAAAAAUAAUAAUAAAGUAUCACAUACCAGUAACAUUAGGGUAUGGUGCAACAUUGCCGGUUUUAUGAGCAAUGUGCUCUUUAAAUCGUGUUAUUCCUCUUUUCACAACUUUACCACAAAGUUUACAUACGAUAUUUCCUUUCGCAUUUGGCACUGGAGUUCCAAAGUGCCAACCUAUAUCAUUACUUGGUGCACCCUCUAAUCCUUUAGUCGGGAACUCUUCACGUGGUGGCAUGCUUUAUUUUUAUUUAUAUAUAAGAAACAUAAAAAUAUGUUUAGAAAUAUAAGCAACUCAUUACUUAUAUUAUCAACAAUAUAGUAUAAAAAAAAUUAAAUAUCAUUAACAUGAACAAUUUAAAUUUAUUGUAUAAUCCAUACAUAAUUUAAAUUCAAAUUGGACCAAAUUUAAAAAUUCAAAAUUUUCUUAUUAUGCAAACUAAAUUAUAUUUAGAAAUCUUUUUUUUUUUUUACUUUCUUAAGUUAAAUCUAAAGUUUUUUUUUCUUUAUUGUGUUAAUUUUGCUAAUAAAUGAGACGCCUUUCUAAAGCUUCUUCUUCUUUUUCUUCUUUUUUUUUCUCUCUAAUAUGAGUUUAUAAAUAUUUAGGUCAUGCAAGAUGCUUCUUUAAAUUUUUGGGCUCUUUCAUUUAUAAAUAUUUGGGUCAUGCAAGAUUCUUCUUUAAAUUUUUGGGCUCUUUCAUUUAUUGUUUCUAAAUAAAAUGAAUGUUUUUUUUUCUCUUUUAGUCCUCUGCUUGUCCAAUCAUUUAUUGUGUUCUAUUUACUUAAUACUAUUUUUUAUUUAUAAGCUAACUAAACAUCUUCAUUUUCUGAUUUCUUUCAAAAGGAGUGUUUUUGUUUCUUUUUCUUAGAUAUGUUUUACUUUUUUUUUUACUAGUUACAAUUAGAUUCUUAAAUUGCUUAACAUUUAUAUUUGAAGGUACCAUUUCAUUGGAAAUUCCAUAAAUCCUUUUCUAGAUUCUUGUGGACAAACAUUUACUUUCUCAACAAACAUAUGAUAAAAUUUCGUGUUUCAAAUAUUUUUAAUUUUUAAUAUAUGAAUGUUUGUUCAUAGAUAACAAAGACUUAAGGGACUUAAGGGGAAAAUUAACUAUAAAGACUUUAUUACAUGUCAUAUUAAAAAUUGUGUCCAGAAAUUUAUAUAUAUAUAUUUAAAUAUAAUAAAGAAAUUUUCUAAUAAUUAUUUUAAGAAAAUUUUUAACAAUUGACAGGUGGAUAAAAGGGAAGGUGGCUGCAAAUUAAGGUUACCAACUUGCCAUUUCUCAAUAAAAGCACAAUUUACAUGCCUAUUUUCUAGUGGUUAAAAUGGACGGUGGCUGCCCCCCUAAUUAAUGAGUAAAACAAUAGGCAAAGAAAAAACAAAACAGAGCAGCAUGCCAAUAAAGCCAUAAACCAAAACAAAAACAGAAAAAUUAAAAUAAAAUGAAACGAUUCUUUCUAUUCCCUAACCCUAACCAGUAGCCUCCAAGGCUCCAAGUCUCCAACUCUAAACUUCAACCUCAUCACUCAUCAGACUAUCAACAAAAAUGGCUGAAUAUGUUGCCUUUCUACUGCUGUUGAAAGUGUGAAAAACCAGGUAAAGGAACACUGGCUUAGAAGGGCUGAGAGAGAACUGGAAGAAACCUAGAAGGCUAGAACUUCGAAGAGGAAAUAGAUGGCGUCCAUCAAGCGGUUCAAAUGGUGUCCUCAAUUCUAAAGAACAUAUGUGCACUGCAGAUUCAAGACAAACAAGCAAAAUCAAGACAAAAUUUCAGGUACUACUUACUUGAAAAUUAUCAAUCUCUGAAUGUGCAAGUGAUUAGGGCAGGGUUUGCUUUUCAGAUUCAAGUCCUCGGCUCCUUGCUUUCAUCUACUGCUUGUUGUUUGCCGAAAUAUAAGAAACAAAAUUUCAUAUUUUAUAUUGCUUUUGAGUUUUGAUUACUUUUUUCUGUUUUUUUGGACUUCUUUUUACUUUUUUUGAUUGAAAGCUCUCUGAUUUUGUAGGUAGGGGAAUAUAUUCCCUUUUGUUUUAUUGUGUUUCACUGUUUCUAUUGAUUUUUGUUUGAGGGGAUAACUUUUUUUUAAUUUACGGUAACGAAAAAUAAUGGGAAUAGCGGCCCGUUAUUGCCGCAAUUGGCCGUUGGCCGUUACCCAUUAAAUUGUGGCCGUGACCCACCGCUUUUGGAGUGACUUCGCUUCACAACGCUAUUUUCAGCAAAAGCGGUUUCAGACGGUGCCGCUACCGCUAUAUAAAGGCCGCUAUUCUGAUAUCGGACCUCUAUUUAAAUCCCUGGUGGCAGCCCAUCGGGAAUGGCUUCGAACCAAAAGUUUGGCAGACCCUUAACGACUUCUUCCCCUCUAGACCGUACCAACCGUCUAUGAUUGAACUCAGAGUUGACAAAGGUUAUAUGAAAACCCCUAGAGUGCAAGAGCUUGGCUAGUUGCAUAAGGGGGUUAAUAUGGCCUUGUGAUGGGUGUCGAAACCUUUUUUUGAAAUCGACUUUUUAUUUAAAAAAAACGAGAAUGUACUGGUCACCAAUUACUUUUAAGAGGCGUGAUCGGGUCACCUUGUAAUUUGAUCGUUUUAAUAAGAAGUUUGAUUUAUUAAAACAAUGUUUUUCGGUCUAUAAAAAUCCAAAAAAUGGGUUCAGGAGUCGGUUACGCACGAGGAAGGAUUAGCACCCUCAUUACGCCCAAAAUUGGUACCUAAUUGAUUAUUUGAUGUCUUUAGCGUCGAAAAUUGGAAAUUUGAAGAGAUUUUAAAAUACGAUCAUUCAUUAAGAUAUUACUUAAUUAAAUUAAAUUUCACAAAAAGGGGCUUACUUCAAGUUAAUCGAGAAAAAAAGGAUCAUGUCCCGUAAGUUAGGACACAAUGUCUUAAAUUCUCGUAAACGAGAACAAACACUAAAAUCUUUUUUUAUAUAUUUAUUUUAAAAUAGAUAUUUGACUAUCUCGAUUUUAGAAGAAAACCAUAUACCGUAAGUUAGGAACACGACUUUUCUAAUUCCAAAAUAAUGAACAUUUACCUUGGUUCAAAAAUUUUCCCAUUUUAUGCAUCGCGCGAAAAAACGAACGUAACACUUAAGGUGAUAUGCAUUUAAUUUAUCCGGGCGUGACAUACAAAUGAAUAAAUGUUUAAACCUAAUGUAUGAUAUAAUGACAAUGAAAUAAUUUAAAAUGAUUAUAUAAGUAGAAUGAUAAAUAAUAAGUAAAUGAAAGAAUAUUAUUAUAAUAAUCAUCAUUAUAAUAACAUUAAUAUUAAUAAUCAUAUCAUGGUAAUAAUAAAUUGUAAUUUAAUAUAAAUAAAAGAUGGAAUCUGCAUGAUUAAAAGAUAAAUAAACAUGACAUGAAAAUAUCAAAAAUAAUAAGAAAUAAUAAAAUAACAAGAAUAAAAAAUAAUAACGAUAAAAAAUAAAAAAAAUUGUGCAAAUAAAAGAGUAUAGACAAUCUAAUUUUUAAGUAUAUAUAUAAAAAAAGUAAUACAUAAAUAUAAAUAGAUAAUAAAAUAAUAAAAAAUAAUAAAACAAACAAAUAAAUAAAUGCUUGAUGAAAAGAAGAUAAAAAUAAAAUAAAAUAAAAACAAAUUUUAAAUAAAAAUGAAGCGCAUAAUAAAUAAGCAAAUAAGUAAAUAAAUAAAAUAAUACAUAAAAAAUAAUAUAUAAAAAAAUCAAUACAGGGUCAAAAUUAAAUAAAUAAGGAUUAAAUCAAAAUUGAAAUGAAAUUAAGAGCCUAAAUUACAAUAAAAUAAAUGCAUAAAUAUAAGAAAGACUAAAUCAAAACUUAAGUGGAAUUUUAGGGGCAAAUCGGGAUAAAAUAAAUGAUAAAGGGGCUAAAAUGUAAUAAAAUAAAUGAAUAAAUAAAUAGAGUAAAUCAAAAUUUAAAUGAAAUUUAGGGGACAAAUUGUAAAUAAAAAAUUAAUAAAACAAAAUAAAGGACCAAAAUGAAAUGUGCAAAAAGAAAUAAGGACUAAAUGGGAAAAUAUACCAAACCCUAUUAAACGCACAUUUUCUUUGGCAAAUCGGGGGACUGAAUUGAAAACAAAAUAAAAUUAAAUGCCGCAAUCUAAAAGAAAAAAAUAAAGGAGUUAGGACCAGAUUGAAAAAUAAUUAAAAAGCGGAAGGACUAGAGCGGCAAUCAGACCCUUCCUUCAAAAACACGCAGAUCCUAAGAGGAUCCGGGUCGGGUCAUCGAUUCAGACCAAAAACGAUGUCGUUUUGGGGUUAAUGGACCCAGGCUAAAACGACUUCGUUUUGAUAUGCUUGUAUAAGUCAAUUUAAAAAAAAAAAUCUCAUUUACCUUUUUUUUUUCUUUGAAAUUUUUUUUAGGCUGACCAUGGUAGCUGUCGUUGCUCCGCUGCAACCACCAGUCAUCGACGACAGCGGCCAUCGUCCCCGGUGGUCGGAGUUCAUGAAAAAGGCUCAUUUUAGCCGUUUUAUUUCCCUCAACCCCAAUUCGAGGCCAAAAUAACCAAAAAACCUUCCAAAAUUCGAGAAAAAUCAAAGGAACCUGUAGUGGCCCAUUUUUGCCUGGAAGCCCAAACCUAGUUACAAACCAAACAACAACCCAAGCCUAAUUAAAAACCCUAAGCCCAAAUACAAACAUAACCCCAGCCCAAAAUUGACCCCAUUCAGCAGAGAAGCAAAUGUUAAGGCGCGCUGCACGUUCUGCCAGCCACCUUCGUCGCACGCCUUCGCACACUGCCACCGCUCGCCUAUCACCGACCGUCAACCUCUGACACCUGCAAAGCAGUGAACAACACACAAGCAGAGAAUGCAACGAAAGAAAAAAAAAACAAAAGAGAAGCAGCAAACAACAAACAACAAUCCAAAGCACAAAACGACAAAAAAAUAGAAGUUUAGGGAUUUUAGAAUCGGUUAUAUCAGCCGAAUACGAGCACUGUAAUUUCUUCUGGCUUUUCUUAUGAACAUUAGAAAUAAAAAAGCAAAAACUAAGGUGAUUUCCUAUUUUUUUUAUUUCAAUUUUUCCUUUUUCUUUAUUUUCAUUAUUGUUUAUUUUUAUUUUUUUAAACGAAAAUAAAAAAGAAAAAGACUUACCUGGGGUUGCCUGCGAGGUCCAUCGCCGGAGCCAUUUCGGUUGCCAAAAUCGAACGGAGAGGGUGGCGUUUGGGUUUCUUCCCACGACCCUAGGGCCAUGAAGGCUCGACCUUCAGUCGGUCCUUGAAGCGGGGUUAAAAACCCAAAUUUCUGCUGCUCCGGCCACCACCUACAGCGGGGUCACGACGGUGUAUGCAACGGCCCUAUUGGCCGGAUUUGAGGCUGAGAGAGAGAGAAUGUUUGAGCUAUCUUUUUUUUUUAAAUAAGGUUAAACUAUUUUUUUUUCUGAUUUUUAACAUUUAUCUUGGGAAUAAAAGGACGCCGUGUUGGGUUUAGGCAACAAUGGCCAAAACGACGUCGUUUCACGUCUGACUCGAAUACCCAACUCGUUUAGUAGAGGAUUCGCGCGUUUUGAAGGCCGAAUGGGCUAUUUGCGCUUCGGGUCCCUCCGCUUUUAUGCUUGGCUUCAAUUCGGUCAUUUUGCCCUUUUUAGCAUUUUCAAUUUGACCCCACUUCUUUCGCGUUUGUUCCAUUUUGGUCUGCGCAGAACGUUGCGUUUUAAGACUGAGGAAUAUUUCCCGAUCAGUCCUUCAGCCUUUAAGCGCCUUCUAUUUCUGCCCUUGCGACCUUGUUUAUUUAUUUGCAAUUUAAACCUUGAUUUUUAGCCUGAUUUCAAUUCAUUCCUCACCCUGUUUAAUCAAAUCUUUAUUUUUUAUUUUUUUAUUUAAAAAAACCAGUUUCAUUAAAUAAUUCAAUUAAUGUUUUUUCUAUUUACUCAUUUUUCAAUUUUUAAUCAAACUUACACCAUUAUUUAUUUUAUUUAUUAUUCAAUUUUUUAUAUAUAUGUAUUAGUUUGUGUAUUUUAUUUAUGUCAUUAUUAUUACUAUCAUUUUAUUGUCUAAUUACUUGCUAAUCUUCAAAUAUUUUCAAAUGUUAGAUUCCUUGUUAUCAUCUUUAUCGUAGUUUAUUAUUAUUGUUGUUGGGCAUGUCACUCAUAUUGUUAUUAUUAUUAUUACUUGUAUUAUCAUUAGUAUUAUCCUUAUUAUUGUUUGUGCUUGUUAACCUUGUGAUUCAUUGGUGAUAAUGUUAUGCAUGUUACAUUUUAUUAUGUACAUUAUGUCAUUGCUAUUUCAAAUGUAUGUCGCACUAUUGUAUUUAGCCACGUAUAACUCCUUUUACGCAUUAAACGAUUUCUCUAAAAACCUAAUAAAUUAAACGUACAUUUUUAAGCAUUUCAUUUACUUUUUAUCCAAAUUUAAAAAAUCUCGAAAUAAGGCAAUAUUUUGCGUUUGGAAAUUUGAGAAGACGUGCCCUAACGUGCUGGGUUUCGAUUUCUCGUUUAACCUAAAUAGCAAAAUAUCCUUUUAAACUAUGACUCUUGAAUAAGCAAAAUUUCGUGUUUAGAUUCGAGAAGGUCGUACCCUAACUUACGGGGUUUCGAUUUUCACGAUAAAUCUAAAUACACGAAUCUUCUCAAACUUAAGUUUUCAAACGAUCUCGAGAAUUAAUAAAAGACCGUGUUCUAACUUACGGAAUGUGGUCUUUUCUAAAAUCGAGAUAAUCGAAUGUCUUUCAAAUAAGUAAAUUUUUUGGCAUGUAUUCUCGUAUCGGGAAUUCGAUACGUUGUGUCCUAACGCAUUGGAUAUGACAUGUUGUUUUCCCGCGAUAAGGAUUUUUCUAAAAAAAUAAUAAAGGCAAUAUUCAAUGUUUGAAAUUUUGAGAAAUUGUACCCUAACGCAUUGGGCUGCGAUUUCUUCGUCUGACUUAAACAACUGGAUAUCCUUUUGAAGUUUAUUGCAUGAGUUUUUUAAGGACAAGUUCAUUUUUGAAGAUGUGAAAUAUCAUGCCCUAACUCAUUGGGUAUGACAUUUUCUCUCUCCGAAAUGAGAGGGUCUUAACAUAUAAUUUGAUUUACACAAGUUGUUUUUUUAACAAGGGAUCGUAUUUUAAAACUCUUCAAAGUUUCCAAUCUUCGACACUAAGACACUAAUUAAUCAACUAGGUACCAAUUUUGGGCGUUACAAGGGUGCUAAUCCUUCCUCGUAUGUAAUCGACUCCCGAACCCGCCUUUCUGAAUUUCGUGGACCAAAAUCGUUGUUUUAAUAAAAUCAAAUUGUUUAUUAAAAACAACCAUUUUACGAGGUGACCCGAUCACAUCUCAUCAAAAAAGAUUGGUGGCGACUCCCAUUUUCGUUUUCGUUUUCGUUUUCAAAAUCCAAGUCGACCCCAUUUUAUCAAAAAAUGGUGUCAACAGAACCUUUCGGCUCUCAAUCUUCUUCCGUCGCGACCGUUCUGCAAAUCUCCGCGGAUCCGUCGGUCUUUCAAAAUAGAGGGAGAAGACGGCAACGAUGAUAAAGGUAAAAAAAAUCCCCCUUUACAAUCGGUUUUUGUAGGCUCUUUUAUAGCCAAAUUACAACAUUAUUUUUCUAUUUUUCUACUGUUCUUAUUACUGUUCUUUGCGCGUUGCUUUUUAUUUGCAGGUGGUGGUUGAGUCAAUGGUGGAAGAGGCAUUGACGGUGGUAGACCUCGGGGUGCGAGAGUGCUGAUGUGGCACGAGGAGCGGCGCAAGGGGCAUUAGGGUUUUUUUCCUGAAAACAGUUUAGGUUGUGGGCCACUGGGCCAUUAAGAUUUUUUUUUUGGGUCAUUUGAGUUUGUAAAUUUGGGCCUGAUUUGAUUUUUUUAAAUGGAUUUGGACUCUUAUUAUUUGUUGUUUUUUAUUUUUAUAUUUGGUUUAGUUUUUUGGUUGGACCCGAGUAAAAUUGGGCUUCUACAAUGGGAAUGGAAGACAUACUGCAUGCGGUUUAAUAGAAUCCAUCUUUAAGCAAUGAAGUCAAGUAGUGAAAAUUCAAGAUAUGAUGAAUCCCCUUCCCUAACUCGUGGUGACAUUUAUAUGCAUAAAAUGAGGGGUAUAAAAACGAUAAAGCAGAUGGCAAUUAAGUGGAUGAGGUCGAGGCUUCUAGAUUAUGAUGAAAAUAUGCCAAGACACGUAUCUAUGUUUCACUGUUGUUGUUAUUAUUAUGAAAGUAAACGAUCUGUUUAUUUUGUUUGGAAAAUUAAAAUUAAUAAAGAAAUGAAGUAAAGGAAUAUUAACAAUCAUGUUUGGUUAAUGAAAUUAUUGAUUAAAAGUAAUUUUAUUAUUAUUUUUUUAGCUUUGUUACUUAAUUGAGGUAAAUAAAAAUUAAGGCCCUCUUGAAAAUAUUAUCUAUUUUCAUUUUCAAAAAUUAUAUUUGGUAAAUAGAAACAAUUUCUUUUUACAAGAAUGAAAAUUUGUUUGAUAACUACUUUUAUUUAAUAGAAAUAAAAAAAAUACAUUUAUAUGGAUUCGAACCAAGGCAUCUAAUUUAGUAUUUGAAAAACGGUUGGAAAAAAAGAAUAUUUUUGUGUUUAUAGAACAUCUAAUUUUACAUAUUUCAUUUUGUUUUUAAAAAAUUCAUUUAAAAAAAAUUAUCUGUUUUCUCCAACAAAAUAACAAUGAAAAUAAUCUCUAUUUUUUGAAAUCAAAGGAAGCUUAAAUAACUUUAAGGUAAAGAAGGGGAAAUUCAACUCUUUUACUUUUCCUAACUUAAAUAAAAGAAACCAUGCAAAUAAGAGAUGGGAUUUGGUUAUAUAGUGGCCCAUAAUUUUUUUAUUUCUAGGUGAAUCUUUGAUUGAGUUUAAUUAAUUAUUUAGAAUAAUAUUAAAAUUGAAAAUAUUUUUAUAUUUAAGUUAUAUUUUGUAAUAAAUAUAAAUAAAAAAAUUGUUAUAGAAAUUGAAUUCAUAAUAUCUGUAUUUAAAGUCAAUUCAUCUUUGAAAAGAUACUCACCGUAUUCUUCGAGAUUACUUGUUUAUGAUUUUAUGUGCAUGGGUAUUCCUGUGUGGAAAAGGAGAAAUAGGGUAGUUGUUGACGCGUCUAAGACCCAAAACGAACCUUAGAAAGUCAAAAUAAUGCAAAACAGUGCAGUGGCUUGGACCAAGGGCAGUUGUUGAGGCAUAAGUCCAAAGUUGUGUGUAAGAGCCCAAUUUCGUCUGGCCUAAACAAAAAAUAAAAAUAAAAAUAAAAAGUCUAUUUACAAAGAUAAUGACCCAAAUACAAAAACCCUAAAAAUCAAAGCCCAAGCCCACGACCUAAACUUUUUUUAGAAAAUCAAAAAAACCCUAGACCUCUAUGUGUCGCUGCUCCUGGCCACGUUAGCGGAUGUGUCGCUCGAGGCUUGACGCCUUUUCUACCACUGUUGCACCAAAAUAGCAAAGGUACGACUCCCAUCGUCACUGUUGACCAUGGACGCCUGCAAAAAGAAAAAAAAUGUAAUCGACUCUAAAAGCCUAAUGAACAGAUUGUAUUUGGGGGAGGGAGAGAUCGAAAUAGAAUACGAAAAGUUAAACAAAACGUAGUCCAUUUUUUUUUGCAGAAAAAACAUAAUAAAUAAAAAUACAUUUUUCUUUUACCGAUGUCCUUUCGCUUCCCUCCAUCGUCAGAGAUCUUCUCUGACUCCGAAAGACCCUUGGGCUCCUUUCAGCUCGCUUGGAUUCUGUCGGAAAAGAGGCAUGAGAGGUGCGAGGAGGGCUAAAGUUUUUUAGUUUUUUUUUCUUUCGAGUUUUGAAGGCAUUGCCUUUAGAUCGGGACCAAGAAGUCAAAAAAAUAAAAAAAAAAAGAAAAAAAGGAAAAUUUUUUAAAACUUCAGCCACCGGAGGCGAUGGCCUCUGUCGUUGAUGACCGGUGGCCAUGGCGGUGCGCCGAUGGCCUUGGCUGGAUGAGGGAUCAACUUGAGAGAAAAAAAAGAAAAAGAAUUAAAAAAAGAAACAGGUUGAAAUGAUUUUUUUAAAAAUAUUUUUAACUUAUAUAGACCCACAAAACAACGUCGUUUCAAGGUGGUUCUAAAUGCCCCAAAAUGACGCCGUUUUGGGGUCGAUCCGAUGACUCGACUCGGAUUACUUUAGGAUCCGCGCGUUUUUAAAAGGGAGGGUAUAAUUGCUACUUUGGUCUUUCCGCUUUUUUGCUAUUUUUCAAUUUCAUCCUAUUGCUUAUUAUUUUUACUUUUAUUCUUGCCCUUUUAAUUUACUCUUGUGCAAUUUGGUCCCCCUAACCCAUUGAUGAUCCCUCUGGGAAUGACACGAGUAAAUAGCGUUAGGAUAAUUGCCCUCUGAGUUCUUGUAUUUUCCAUUUUUUUAAAAAUUUAGUUCUUUAUGUUAUGUUUUCUUGUAAUUAAGACUUUAAAUUUUGUUAUGUUGUCAAUUUAAUCCUUUGUUCCCUUUUUUUUGUUUAUUUCACAAUUCAUGCUUCAAAUUUCGUCUAAACUUCAAUUUAAUCCCUCAUUUAUUUAAUUUUGCCUAUUUAUUUAUUAUAUCAUUUAUUUUAACAUUUCAAAUUUAUGUUAUUUAUAUUCCCUUUUUAUGUAUUUUCUAUUUUAUCAUCAUUAUUAUUAUUACUAUUAUUAUUCAUAUCAAUAUUAUGAUAGUAAUUAUAACAUGAUAUUAUUAUUAUAAAUUGACAUUUUUACUAUUAUUAUAGUUGCAUCAUUAUUAUUCACUAGCAUAGCAUCUUUAUUUUAUCUUUUAUUUAUUUAUUUAUUUGUUCAUUUAUUUAUUUGCUUAUCAUUUUAAUAUCAUCAUUUCAUUUUUUACCCGCUACUAUGUUACUUUAUUUUGCUAAUAUCCAUGCCAUGUAUCGUGUUAAAACAUAUUCAUCCAUUUUAUUGUUAGGCCUAGACAAAUUAAAAAACAUAUCGUUUUAAAAGGUUGCAUUCUUUUACCUAAUGAAUAAGAAAUAUUUGAAAAGCAACGCAAAGUUCAUUAUUUUUUGGAAUUAGAGGAGUCGUGCUCCUAACUUAUGGAGUAUGGCCUCUUUCUAAAACGAUAUUUAAGUAAUGAUCAAAUGGUGAUUAUUCUUAUUUUCAAGGAUUUAAAGCAUCGUGUCCUAACUUACGGGGCAUGAUCUUUUCUUCUCGAUUAACUUGAAAUAAGACAUUUUCGCGAAAAUUAAUUUAGUAAAGCGAUAGUAUUUUAAAUUUUCUUUGAAUUUUUAAUUUUCGACAUCAAAGCACCAAGUAACCGACUUGGUAUCAAAUUUGGGCGUUAUGAGGGUGUUAAUCCUUCUUCAUACGUAACUGACUUCUGAACCCACAUUCGUGGAUUUUGUAGGUUAAAAUUAUCGUUUUAGUGAAAUUUAAUCUUUUAUUAAGAUGAUUGAGUUUUGAGGUGACCCGAUUACACCAAAUAAAAAGGAUCGGUGGCGACUAUAUUUUUUUCAUUUUUUAAAAUAAAAAUCGAUUUCCAAAAAAGGGUUUCGACAUUGUGGCAAUACAAGUCCUUGUUAAUGUAAAUAGCUUAUUUUGUUUGACUUGUUGCGAUACCAUAGUAGCCAAGUAUCGAUACUCAAGCACCUAAAGUGGGAAAUUGGCUAAAAACACUUUAAAACAUCCCUAAACAUCCCCAUAACAAAUCAAUGUGUUUCAAAUAAUUUUAAAACACUUUCAAAUGAGAUUUAGGACCAUCAUUCAACACAAAACUAAGUUCAGAGCAAUUCCAAGCCAAAGUAUAACCUAAAAAUUAUCGAAUUAAAUACAUUCUUCACUCAAAAUCAUAAAACAUCAGAGGUACAACUCCUUACAAGGUUUAAGUCCUUAUGUACAUUCCACCACUAAGAAAAUCUUAUACAAUACCAUAGCUUAAACCUUCUAUUCCUCAUGUGGUAAUGCAAUGCCUCUAACUCACUAAUUCAAUCUUCUCGAAAUGGAUUUCACCUAUGUGUUGAAAUCACUAACACGUCCAUCUCGAAAGCUUAGUAAAUACUCAUAGAUUAUCAUAACUUAUCUUAACCACUAGUAGCUUCAAUAUUUUAAUUUUUUUUGCAAGAGAUCACUUAAACAAUAUGUUAAGAAAACUCCCUUCUAUAUUUCUUACUAACAUAACACUAGUGCUCAAACCUCCUAAGACCAAUUCAUAUAAUUUAUUUUCUACUAUACAAUUAGGGUAUGUACUUAAUCUGCUACUCUUGCUCUUACAAUGAGCAUUCUUUUAUCCACAAUUUAAUUACACUUCUUUUACACAGUGCAUACAUAUUUUCAAUAAUUAGCCAAUUAACUUCAGUGGUUUUCGUUUUAAAGUUUCUCACCUCAUUCUUAUGAAAAGUUAACAAGUAAUAAGUUUUGAUUUCUCUUUCUCAUUAGCCAAGUAUUUAAACUCCUUGCUCAAUUUGUGUAUCAUUAUUAUUAGCCCCACUUUUAACAUGUAUUACUUUUGUUACACUUAUAGCUCAUUAUGUCUAUUAGCAAGUAUUAUUAUCAAAAAUUUGAUUUAUUUCAACCUUAGUAAACCUUAGUAAUAUACACUCAACUACUUGAGAUUUCAACUGAACACCCUAACACAUAUUGUGUGAAAGGCACAUCCACCCAAACACCCUGAAAUGUUUGCAAAAGAUGCACUUACGUGCUAUGCCAUAAGGUAGAAAUCACUGUCUUAACACUAAACGAUGUCUUCAACAUAAGCACAUACACUAAUCCCUAUAACAUGCCAAUUAUAUCCUAACUAUUCUACUAAGUAUACUAGGACAUUUCACUUUAUCAACACUUUCAAGCAAUUUCAAUUUCAUAAUACAUUCACAUUUCACUUACAACAUGGAUGUUCAUACAAGUAAAAUCAUCUUACAUUUUAAUGAUGUGAGGUGCAUAUCAAAGUUUCAUGAUUAGUGUUGUUUGAGCAUUUAUUUAAUAUCUCAUAUUUCAACUUCACAUGUUCAUUUAUUGAAACAUUCUAGCUACAUUAUGCUCUCAUCAAUACAUCCCACAUGUACAUAUACAACAUAAUAUACUUUUCAUGAUUUUUUUUAUUUUAUCUUAUUAGAUUAUUUCAUUAUAUGGAUUUUCACUUUGAAAUCAUUUUAACACUAAUUCACAUUCCUCAAAUUUAUGUUAUAGCAUUAAUUCUUUUGACAUUUCUAUAGCCUAUUUUAGUGCUAUUUAAUCAAGUUCAUGAAUUUCACCAUGUUUCUUCCAAUUACUCAACACACUAAGCUACCUUAUUUUUCAUAUUUUAAAUAUACAUAGACAACACAUGAUUCUUGUCACCAUUUUAACAAUUUUCAUAACAUUUUAUUUAAAGAAAAUCAAGAGAAUCUGUGUUACUUACCUUUUGAAUGCACCAUAGUUUAAAAUCUAGCUUUCUAACAUUUAAAUUUUCACUAUUACAAGCCGAGGAGUUCUCUUUCCACCAUUUUCACAUUUUCUCAACAUCCAAAAAAAGUUAAUAUAAAAGCUUUAGAAGCUUUCUUACAAAAAUAAUUACAAAUAAUAACUUAGAAGAUGUUGAGAACACCAUUUCUUACCUUGUUGAACUUUUCUCUCUCUAACUUCAACUUUCUUUCACUAACUUGGAAUCCUAAGCUAAAUUAAAGAGAAUGAGGGAGGAGGUGAGCUUAAAACCAAGUUUUCUACUUGAUUUUACCAAGAAACCAAAGUAUUUUGGUGAGAUUUGGUUUGAAUCAAGAAGAAAAUGAAGAAGAUGACAUAAAAAUUUCAUCUUCAUCUCUUUUAUUUCAUUUAAAAAUAUUAAGUCCAAGUCAAAGUCAAUUUAUCAUGUGAAUCAAAGUUCACCUUUCUUUUAAUACCCCAAAUCGAUGGUUCAUAACAACUCCCAAUAACAUAAUAUCUCAAAAUAAAAUAUUUCAUAUUUAGAUUCCAUUCAAAAUGAUCAAAAUGCCCCUUGUGUGGUAAUUAAACUUUUUUUUGGUGGCUAAAAAAAAUAAAAAUUACAUUAACUUAAAAUACGGGAAAUCCCCUUUGGAGGUUCUUCCAUAAUAAUCAAGACUUCCUCUCUAUCUAAAGCCAUUUUAGCUACACAAUCAACAUCCUUGUUACUAUCUCUAGGCACGUACUAUAGAAAGCCAGGUAAAAUUGAACUUUAGUCUCCCUUUUUGUCUUACCACUAUUCUCUAUUCCAUUCAAGGCACUUAAUCCUUUGAAGUUUCAUUUAUUUAUGCUUUUCGAUCAUAACUAUCCAUAUGUAAAUUCGCAUUUAUGACCUUCCUCGAUAAAAAUGGAAAAUUUAUGAUUUAGUCCAUAAAUUCACGUUUUCAUUCAAUUUAGUCCCAUAAGUCCUUAUUUUUUCACUUACUUACAAUACUGAUCAUAAGACACUCUCUUCAUGCUUUCUGGCUCAUUUCUCGAUUGUUGAGAAAUUUACACAGAGUAUUUUUCAAAAUUUCCAAUUUAGUCCCAAAAGUAAAUUUCAUUAAAUUAAUACUCAAUUCAAGUCAUCCUUAUGCUCCUCAAUCAUUAUCAACUCUUAUUUCCUUAAUUUGAUUGAAUUAUAAUAUUGUCCUUAACUUUUCCAACUUUACAAUUUAGUCCACUUUCCCACAAAUUCACACCUAAUAUUUACUUCAUUGAUUUCUAACAAUAAAUCCUAAUAAUUGUUUUUUAAAAAAUUAUCUUUUUUGGUCUCAUUAUUGAAUUUUCUCAAAAAUUCACUAUUGCAGUCCUUGAAACAAUAUCAUUUACUGUAUUGGAAAAUUUGGGAUGUUACAACUAACAUACUAGAUCAAUUAGAAUAAAUCUUCCCAUCAAAAUAGUAGGAUAAUAAGUUUAGUGAAUAUCUUCAAUAAGACUUAUGAGUCCAUUCGAUUCGAUCCAAACUCUUCAAAAUAGGGAAGCCAAUUUGCUUGAUCCAAUCCAAACCAAUCUACAAUAUAUGUUCCUAUAAUAGGUUUGAAUAUCAUAGAUGCGCUUACACUCAUAUAAAGUAUCAUAAAAGAUCAUAGCUCAAGAAUUUUGUCACCAAAAUUUGCCAACACCAUUUAUGGCAAGUUAUAAAGUCAAAUAGUGCUAGACACCAGUAGGCACUGCACUUAAGCACUCUUCAUAAAUUGCCUCAACAAUAUGUUUAAUAUAGAAUAAUGAAUUUAUUAAAUGUAUUGUAUUUAAAUUCUAACAUUUUCUAAUGAAGUUUUGGUUGAAUUCCAAAAGUUGAGGUUAUAGAAGUUUCAUUCUCCUAAUUUCAACAACAACAAAAAUCUAACAACAUCACAACAAAAAUUUAUGAAUCUAACAUUUAAUAAUUUAUUUUGGGAAAAAAAAACAUGCACACAACAUACAACACAAUUGUAUUAUGAUUUUACUACUCGACCAUGACUUAAGGCCUCAUUUAUCAUUUUAUCAAAGUUGGUGACAACAGAUCCUCCAAGGCUAAUGGCAGCUUCAGCUUUCUUCUUCCAUUCCAGUGCCUUUUGCCUUAUUCUUUGCCCAUUAUCUCCUUCCAUCAUCUCUUUAACAAGAGCUUCCACAUUUUCACGCUUUAUGUCUGGAUUGAUUUCCAUGCCAUUGCCCCAUGUGGUGCACACAUAUCGACAAUUCGUUUGUUGAUCACUGAAGAAUGGCCAACAAAUUAAAGGCACACCUUCGGAUAAAGCUUCCAAAAUAGAAUUCCAUCCGCAAUGUGUGACGAAAACGCCAACCGCCGAGUGGGAUAACACUUUUUGCUGGGGACACCAACUUAUUAUGUAACCCCUUCCCUUUAUUUCCUCUAAGAAUUCUCUUGGCAAAAUAGCUGAUUCACCUAUCACAAGAUCGGGCCUAACUACCCAUAAAAAUGGGUAUUUACUGUUUGCAAGUCCCCAAGCAAAUUCUUUUAGAUGAUGAUUAGACAUCACCGUUACACUCCCAUAAUUCACGUACACCACUGACUUGGGUUCCAUUGUGUUAAGCCAUUCGAUGCAACUUGUGUCUUCCUUCCAUAGGCUUGAAUUUAAUAAGUUGUAUUGGAUUUCGAGUGAGUUCUUACUUAGUGAAGUGAGUGGACCAAUUGCAUAAAUAUUAGGGGAUUUGGAUGCAAUAACUUGUAGCACUUCUUUGUCCAAGUCAUCGAAUGUGUUGAAGAUUAUUGAAGAUGAAUUUAAGCAUUCUUGUGAUACUUCCAUGAUGUAAUUAAACAUGAAGUCAUCAGGGUCGGUGGUUCUUAUGAAGCUUGGUAUGUCCUUGAGACGCAUGUUAGGCAUACCAGGGAUCCAAUCAAUGGGCAUCUCAAGUGUCCCAUCGCUAACAAAGCGUUCAUCUACAACGAAAAUAAAACGCAUAUGCAAAAAAAUAAGCAUGGAACAUGUUGCGUGUAACUUAACCCAUAGAACUUCAAAGAGAUUAUUAUCAAUGAACAUAAGAUAUCCCAAAAUUAAGUUACAAAUUACAAAGAAAAUAUAAAAUAUGUAACCUUUGAAUGGAACAAUGCCUCUUUGAGCUAGUUCUUUGUAGUGCAGAAAUCCCAGAAAGCUAACGGUUGAAGAAGUCCAGAGUUGAACAUAAGGCACCCCAAUGAGUUGAGCUGCCUUGGUACCAAAGUUCAUGGUUCCAUCACAAACUAUGCAUGUAACAGGCGGCAGGUGGGGUGAGGAAUUAAGCUUAGAUAGUAGCUCCAGAAAUGGAGCCAAACAAUUUUUCCGUGUGGAAUUGCAUAGUGCCGGAACAGACUGAGUCGCAUCAGAAUCGGAAGGUGGCAGCCCGUCGGGUAUGGCUUCGAACCGGAAAUGAGGCAGACCCUUAACAGCUUCUUCCCCUCUAGACCGUAUAAAUCGUCUAUGAUUGAACUUGGAGUUGACAAAGGUUAUAUGGAAGCCUCUAGAGUGCAAGAGCUUGGCCAGUUGCAUCAUGGGGUUAAUAUGACCUUGUGCUGGGCUUGGAAGACAUACUGCAUGCGAUUUAAUUGAAUCCAUCUUUCUGCAAAUAAUAAUUAAGCAAUGAAGUCAAGUAGCUAGUGAAAAUUGAAGAUAAUAUGUUUUUGGUUGAGAAAAUAUCAACUGCUUCCCUCCAGUGCUGGGUAUUAUAUAUGACUGAAUCUUGUGUCAUCAAACCCGAAGGAUACACGUUUCUAUUUUUUAUUUAAAAUAAUUAGUUUUCAUUCCUCCAUUGCACAUGUAUAUUUAAUUGCUAGAACAAUAUAUAUAAAAAAUUAAUUAAAUAUUAGAAAAUAUAUUCAAUAAAACAAAAAGUAAAUAUAAAAAACUAAUCUUAAAUUAUAUUAAAGUUUAUUAAUAAAUAAAACAUAUAUUUACUAUAAACAUAUCAAAUGCAAUAAUGAAAUAAUGAUUAGUAGUAUUCGUAAAAUAUUAUUAUUUUAAAUAAACUAGUCAUGUAAUUUUAGUAAGUUCUUUUUUGCCACUGUAAAUGAAAAAUUUUCAGAAAAGGCAUUACUGUUACAAAUCGUUUUCAUUUUGAUCAUCUGUCAUUAAUUUGGUGUUAAACCAUUUUAUCGUACACUUAUUUUAUAAUCCAACUUUAGUAAGUAAUUUUUAUUUUGGUCCCACAAUUUAUUUUUAUUUAUAUGAACCACCUAGGUUAUUAUAAGGAAAUCAUUGGGUUUUAACAAGGAAAACCCUUAAUAAAAUUUUAAUUUCCUUUAUUUUUUUAUUUUUUAGAAUUAUUUUAUUUUUUCUCAAUAAAUGAAAGAUAUAGGUUUUUCAAAAAAUAAAAAUAAUUCAAAAAAUAUAAGAGACUAAAAUGAAAAAUUAUUAAAUUUAGAUGACUAAAUGUACAAUAACAUUGUCUAACCUCAAAUUAAUGGUGGGUGACCAAAGUGAAAACGGUUUGUAAUGAAAGUGCCUAAAAAUUUAUAAAAGUUAGGUAAUUAACUGAAUAGUUUACUCUAUUAUUUUAUAUAAAACACAUAUUACGGAUCAAGUGCUAAUAACUAUAAUUAUUAAUACUCAUCUACUAUUAAUAAAUAAUUUAUUAUAAUAUAUGAAAAUAAAAUUAAAUAGUGAUUCAAUUAUUUUUGGUGGAAAAUAGAAAAAUACAAGAAUUAAUUUAUGCCAACUGGCCUAACUCUCCAAGUGGGGGUCUUCCAAACAUUCGCAAAUCUUAGCUUCCCGAGUGAGCCAUCUUGGUAAGUUUAUCAGCUUUGUGAUUUUCUGCUCUGGGUAUAUAAUAAAUAUUCCAAUGAAAAAUCUGAGACAGUAAUUGAAGAAUCCUUCUAAUUAGAGCUGUAUUGGCCUCUCCUGUAGAACUCUCCCAAAUAGCCAUCACCACUUCAAGACUAUCCGUUUGAAUGAAAUUAAGAUCCAAACUAGAAGUAAUAAUAUUUAAAAAUGAAAGUUUUUUAUUCUUAAUAAUUAAAAUAAUGCAUAAUUUAGUAAUGAAUGAAUUUAGACAUGGUGGAUAACAAUUGGUAGAGAUGCCGCGAAAAUACACUCAAUUAUUUUGAUACGUUAAUCUAUUAAUGGCUCCUUUUCGUUUUCCUAAAGUGGCUGCUCUAAUAUAUUGACUCCUCAAAUGUUGCUUGUCCCUACUAUUAAAAAAAAAAAUCUUUUGUUUAUUGUCUUUUCUUUUUAAUUUCCUUUCAAGUAGUAAUCAAGAUAUUCAAGGUUAGCAAUAAUGACUAAUCCCUUCAUCACGAGUAUUCUUCUGUAAGGAAUCGAACCUCCAACCACAUAGUUAAUAGAUGAUGAAGUAGGCAACUGCGACACCUAUCAUUUCGAAUAUUGUGUGGUCAAAAAUGAAAGGUUAGGUGAGAUAGAACAUGAGGGCAUGUUAAUAGAUGAUGAAGUAGGAUACUGCGACAUGACACCUAUCAUUUCGAAUAUUGUGUGGUCAAAAAUGAAAGGUUAGGUGAGAUAGAACAUGAGGGCAUGUUAAUAGAUGAUGAAGUAGGCAACUACGGCAUGAUACCUACCAUUUUGAAUAUUGUAUGGUCAAAAAUGAAAGGUUAGGUGUGAUAGAACAUGAGGGCAUAUAUAGUUUUUCCACAUCGAUGAAGUGUCCUUUCACUCAAAAUAUGUAAUUUUAUCUUUUUUCUAAAUUUUUUUCGUGAAAAUAAUAUAGAAUAAUAAUUUAUUAAAAUAAUAUAAUAAUUUUUUAUGGACCAAAAUAAUCAUUUUUGAAUAAUGUUUGACAAGUCUAAUAUCAAAUCAUCAUUGCAGCAAAACAAGCUUUUAGCGGCAUUUUUUAAGCCUAUAGUGGCGCUUAAAAGCGCCGCUAAAAGUAUUUGCGGUGCUUUCACAAGUGCCGCUAUAGACAAUGUCGCUAANNNNNNNNNNNNNNNNNNNNNNNNNNNNNNNNNNNNNNNNNNNNNNNNNNNNNNNNNNNNNNNNNNNNNNNNNNNNNNNNNNNNNNNNNNNNNNNNNNNNNNNNNACUAAUUUUGGCAGAUUUGUAACAUUCAAUUUUCAUCCAUAUACAACCCUUUCUAUAGCAUGAAAUCCAACCAAAAACAACAAAUCUAAAUGAUACUUCAAAUUCAACGAAAGAUAUAUGAUAUAAAGUGGUAACUAAAGUAUAAUUCAAAAUAUUCUUACAAUAAUGUUAAAAGAUACAAUGUUAAAAAUAUUCUUACAAUAAGAAAACUGUAAUAGGCCAAUUUUGGCCUGGCUAAAAAACCAUUUACAUAGCCCAAAUAAUUCGGCCCAAUAAGGCCCAAAUUGCUAGCCCAAAAAACACAAAGAGUAUAGCAGAAACCCUAGUAGCCGCCACAGCAAUCUCAUCCUCGCACGCCGUCGCAAAUGUCGCAUAUGCACCUCCAACCAUACCUGCACAUCAAGAAAGAAAUAAACAGUACAUGGAAAGAAAAAUCCAAAGAUUGCGAAUCUAGAUCGAUAUGAACAGAUUUACUUUCUAUGUUAUUGUUUUAUUGUGGCUAUAAAAAAGCCAUUGAUACACUGUAAUGAGGGGCCGAAAAAUCAAUAAAAAAGAAUCAUUUUUACAGCACCAACAAAGAAUCAAUCGAAACUAAAGGUGGAUAUUUUCGUUUUGUUAUUUUUUUAUACACUGAUAUUAAAUAAAAUAAAAGAGAGAACUUAACUGGGUUCGGACCUGCGGCGUCGCGGGCGAUCGAGGGUGCCACCCCCGAGGAUUGGUGGCCGAAAACUGAAAGGUUUCUGGACUCCCUUGCGGUUUUUGAUGGUUUUUUUGAGACUUUUGAACCCGGAUUUGGGUUUAGAGAGGUCUAGGGAGCCGAAUAGGGAAUUUUCCCCUUUUCCGGCCACCGUAGACGGCGGUGCCGGCGACGGAGAUCGACGACUGACAAGGUGGCCGACGAUCGGCCGAUGAUCGGACUAGAGGCCAGACGACUGGGGAAGGGGAAACCUUUUGAAGUGUUAUUUUUAUUUUUAUUUUUAAAAGAGGCUGCAAAUGAAAAUUUUUAGAGAAGUAGUGGCUUAAAUAGCCCUCCAAAACGGCGUCGUUUUGGACAUGGGUCGACCUGACUCCGACCCGACCCGGCCUAGGAUCCGCGUGUUUUUGCGCGGAGGGGUAUAUUACGCUUUUAGUCCCUCCGCCUUUUAAUAAUUUUACAAUUAAGUUUAUUUUAUUUUUAAAUUUCGUCUUUAAUUUAUUUUUAAUUUCAAUUUGGUCUCUGUGGAACGAUGCCGUUUAGAGGAAAAGGGAAAAUUUCCCUUCAGUCCCUCCAUGAUUAUUCGCGCGUUCAAUACAGUCCUUUGGGAUUUAAUUAUUUGCGAAUUUGCCCCAGUUUUUUAUUUUACAAUUCAAUUUAGUUUUUUUAUUUUUUUAUUAAUUGAUAAUGUAAUUAUUAUUUUCAUAUGUAAUUAUUUUUUCUUUUUAUAUAUAUAUGUAUAUUUAUGUAUAUAUUUAUUUCCAUGUAUAUAUACGUAUAUUUUUUAAUAUAAUGUAGUUAUUAUUUAAUUUAUUUUUAUAUAUAAUUGUCUAAAUGUAUAUAUGUACAUAUUUUUUUAUUUUUUUCAAGCUAAUAUUUGUUAUAUUUAUAUAUACACAUAUUUAUUUUCGAUCAUGUAUUUAUUAUUUUUAAUCAAUAUAUAUAUAUAUUCUAAAAAAACAAAUAUUCUUUUAUAUUUAUGAACACGUAUAUAUCCCUUUUUUAUUUUUCAAAAAAAUGCUUAAAUAUCUACUUAUAUUUUAACACAUAUUUUAUAAUUUAUAUAUAUAUAUAUUUCUAUACUCUUCUUUAUUUUCACAAAUAUGUAUUUUGUUUAUAUAAAUUUUUAUAAUCUAAAUUUUAUUUAUAAAUUCAUGUGUAUUCUUCAUAGUUUUAAUGUAUAUGACAUGUACCUUUUAUUCUUUAUAUUUUUUUUGUUUAUUUUAUUUAUUUAUUUAUGUUUUCAUUAAUUUUUUUAUCUUGCUCGUUUAUUUAAUACUUUGCAUGUCAUUAACUUUUUUCUCCCUUAUGUAUAUUUGUUUCGUUUAUUCAUUUGUUUAUAUUAUUUCUAUGCUAUUGUUGUAUUUGUUAUCACGAUAUUUGCACAUAUAAUAUAACGUUACAUCAUCUUUCACUCAAAUUUAAAAAUAGAAAAUUUUCAAAAUUGAGAUAAUGCUCGUAUUUAGGAUUUUCAAGGAAAUUGAGCCCUAACGUAUUGGGUUCCGAUUUUCUUCGUUAAAUCUAACAAUCGAGCAUUUCUCUUUAAUCAAAAAAAUAAGAACUCAUUAUUGGGAAUUCAACACGUUGUGUCCUAACGUAUUGGAUGUGACGCAUUGAUUUCUCGAAAUGAAGAUUUUUUCUAAAAAAUAAUAAAGGAAAUUUUCCGAGUUUGGGAUUUUGGAGGAAUUAUGCCCUAACGUAUUGGGCCGCGAUUUCUUAAAUCUUGAAUAAAUGGAUAUUCUUUUAAAUUUUUAUUACACGAGUAUUCUGGCCUAAUUCAUUUUUGAGGAAAUUAGAAUGUCGUGCCCUAACGCAUUGGGUGUGGCAUUUUCUUUCAUUGAAAUGGUAAGGGUCUUAAUACGUAACGUUUUUAAGUUUUUGCUAAGGAUUAUAUUUUUCAAAUUUUCUACAUUAAGACAUUAAUUAAUUAACUAGGUACCAAUUUUUGGGCGUAAUGAAGGUGCUAAUCCUUCCUCAUACGUAACCGACUCCCGGACCCGUUUUUCUAAAAUUCGUAGUCCAAAGUCGUUUUUAGGUGACCCAAUCACACCUUAAUAAAAGAUUGGUGGCGACUCCCAAUUCUUCCAAUUUUAAUCGACAACUAAUUUUUGUUUUUUUUCCAAAAAUAAAAAUAGUUCUAAGAAAAACAAAUGUCUAAAAUGGUGGAUUUUGCGACUACUGAAACAUCUUCAUAAUAUUCUAAAGCUGUAGUUGGAGUGCGUCGUACUUUCUGCUCUGCUCUACUUCCCUCGCUACUGCCUUCACUUUAAAUUGUAGCUGGAGUUCUUCAUAUUUUCUUUGAACCUCAACUUCUCUCGAUGAUGCCUUUGCUUUAAGUUGAGCAAUUUGCUCAACUGUGCUCACUUGCACCUGAGCCAUCUGGUCUCUUAACCUCUGAUCUUCAGCUUGAGCCUGACUUCCCGAAGGCAUGUAUUGUUGUGAGCUGGAUCCAAAUUAUUGGGUUGGGUUAACAAAAGAUCCUUGAAAUCGAACCCGACCAUACCUUUCAGGACUCAAAACUUCAGUAAUAAUCUAAUUAUCAAUGUCGUCAACAUUAAUAGAACUAUCACCCGAAGCAAUCGCUUCAUACUCUUCCUUUUUAUCCUUUAGUUACUCCUAAAAAAAUCAAUCAAAGAGUUAGAAACGAAAUAUAUAAUAAAAACAAAUGCAACAUAACUUAACAUUAUUUGCAUUACAAACGACGAAUUAAACCAUUAUAAUUAAACACUAUAAAUAUUCAAAAUAAUUCAAAUUUUAUUAAGUAAACAUACCAUAAUUUCUGUAGCUUCAGAAGUCAUAGGAGAUUCAUCUUUUUUCCUAUGUGUAAUGUCAAAAAGCUGAAGGCGUCCGACUUUUUGACUAGACGACAGUUCCUACAAUAUAAUAGUAAAAAUAUUAUUUAAUAGAAAGUAAUAAAUAUUUGACACAAUUAAUAAAUUCAAAAUACCUCGACCUCAGCUACACAAGCAAAACUUUUUGACCCAGCUGUGUGAGUGAAUUUCUGUUUUUGCCUGCUGCUUGUUCCAACUCAUUCACAAUCCUACAUUAUGAAAUUAUUAUUACGUAUAUGGUAAAUACUAUAAACUGAAACAAUUAUAAAAGUUUGGAAGUACUUAAUACCUCUCCUUUAUUUGUAUUCCAAAAUCUAACCGCAUAUUCCCAUUGGUACCUCAGCAUUCCCGACAGGACAUUUUGCAAUUUCUCUUCGAGGGUUGUUUUUGUCUUAAAAUAUUCUUUCUUUAAAGUACUUUUAUGGUCUCUCCAUCUUUUUCCCAAUGCCUUCUUGACAUAAUUAUCGGAGACCUCUAAAUCAAACCUCUCCUACAAAAAACACAAGUUUAAAAAGUAAAUAUAAAUGAAACUUAAACCAAAGUUUUAUAAAUUACAUUCACGUUUUGUUACCUUAAUAUUAUUGAGAGCUUCAUUUUUGUUACUAUCAGGCAUUUGAUGCCAUGAGUCAUAGUUGAUAGGCAACAUAUUGACAUUUCGUGCUAUAAUGCACAAAUAUCCUACUAAAAGUCGAGCUUCUGAUCCAACAGGCUGACCAAGAUUGUUUCUAGAUACUUUGACACGCUCGACAUGAUUUAACUCGUAUAAAUCUUUAAGUAGCGUACGUCCUCGACCUCUGCGCGUCCCACCACUUUCAGCUGAAAAAUGGUAUAUUAUAAUAUAAGAAUUUGAAAAAGAAAUCAAUAAUAAAAGUCAACACACAUGUAAAUUAAAUUUAACAUUACUUUGAAUUUCUGCAGGUUCAUCAGGUGUAUUUGGAACAUUCGAAGAUCCAAUAGCAGUCUGUUGUUCACUAUUUGUUUCUUCCGAAUUUGGAGUAUUUUGAACAAUACUUUGAUCUCGCAAUCUUCUUUUAGGCAUUUUAUCUGCAAUACACAUAAAAUAGUUGAAAUUUUAGUAACUAAUUACAACAAUAAUAGUACAUAUAAAAUAGUUAAAAUAUUUAACAAGACCAAGAUUUAAAUUAUGAUAUUACAUAUAAUUAAAAUCUUACUACAUCAUAAUUCGUAAAUAUCUUCAUCAACAUCCUGGCGAACCCAUUGAAAUUGUGUACUAGUACUAGAGAUAUUUUCAUUUAAGUUUUGUUCUGGAAAAGGCAAAAUUUCUGAUCUUUCGUUGAUGUCAUCUCUACUUCCAUUGCCCAUGUCAAACAAGUCUCUAGGGGUGUUACGGAGUACAACGCACCAACCCUCAUCAGUUGGAUCUUUCGAGUAAAAAACUUGUUUCACUUGAGAAAAAAAAUACAUACAGCUCAUCUAUCAGUUGUUGUCCAGUGUGAAUCAAUCGAGAGAAGUUCACCAUUGUAAAACCAAAUUGAUCUUUUUUAAUUCCGUGAGUAGUAUUAACAUCAGCUCAAUCACAUCGAAAUAAGACAACUUUCCAUUUGCCAUAGUUAUCCAACUUAAUAAUGUCAGUAAGAAGUCCGUAAUACUCCACAUUUCCAUCAACAGGAUUACUAUCCCUAGCACUAGCAUAACUUGUAAUUGAAGAAUUAACAAAUAUUCCACAAUUUUGAGUUCUCCUCUAUCUCUCGCGAUAUUUUGUAUGAAAUCUAAAUCCAUUGAUGAGAAAGGCACUAUAUCUUUAAAAUUAGUAUUUCAAGAUUUGGAUUUAGAUUUUUAAAAUAAUGUAAAUUGAGUAAUAAGUUAUUUAAAAAUAUAAUAUUUAUAAUUAUUUUAAUAUUUUAAAUAUUAGUAUAAAAAAUUAAUUAGUAUUAAAUAUAUACUUUUAGUCGAAAAGAUAGUAUUUAAUCAUAUGAUUUGGGGAAGAAAACGACGCCGAAUGAGUCAAAUAUCUGAAUAAAACAGAAUUCCUAUUACUUUGGCAAUAUAUAACCCUUAUAAGUUGACAACAAAUUAAUUAAACAGAUUAUAAUUACUGUACAAGCUUAAACAUAUUGUUCCUAUUCCAUUACUUGUCAAAGAAACCCACCAUCUAGCAGUAUAUCAUAUUUGAAACUAGCUUAAACAUAUUGUUUCUAAAAUAACAAGGGAUAAACAUUAUUACAGCAUCAGUAUAAUUGAUAAAUAAUCAAGUCUACAAAAAAGAUAACACUACAUUAGAUUAAGACAAUAAUAAUCUUUUUUAGUGGAAUUACUUUCAUUGCUAUUUUAAGAACCCAACGCUACAUUAGAUUAGGACAACAAUUGAAUUUUAAAAAUAAAUAGCACGAAAGCUUGAACUCCGAUUCAAAGUUAAAUACUCAAAAUUCAGUUCAAGCUCUUGACUCAAGAAACAAUCGAUGCUUGAUGAGUGUCGUUAACUGAUUUCCCAAUACUCAAAACUCCAAUUUGAACUGGAAAUUAAGCUUUUGCAUAUACAAAAACAAAUUUGUAAAGAAAUGAACUUUUUAGCUGCGCAUUACACUUCGCAAAGCCCUGAUUCACUAGAAUAAGUAAUUUUAUUUUAAUUUUAAGAAAAAAAACCUAAUUUAUCCACAUCCGAUAGUUUUUCGAGCAAUUAGAAAACAAAAUGAACUAAAAAUGAGCUUAUUUGUCGCAAAUAAAACCCUAAAUCAACAAAUAUUAAAUUAAUUAAGAUUAUAAUAAAACAUUAGAAGAUUUAAAAUAGAAAACCUAGUCCUUUUGGUGUUCGUGACUGUCUCCAGAAAUAGAAGCGGUAAUUUUAGGGCAGAGGAGUGUGACGGUGAUGCGGCAGAGGAGACAGUUGAUAGCGAUGCAGUAGAUGGUCGGCGAAAAUCAAAGGGAUUUUGAAAUUUCAGGAUUUCGAUUUGCGGGAAAAAUUAAGGGAUUUGGAAAUGCCAAAUUUUUAAGGGAAAAAUUAAGGGAUUCGGGCUUUAGGGAUAUAAAGUAAGGGAUUUUGGGGUUAUGGUUUAAGGAAAGGAGAACAGAUAGAAUUCAGGGAGCAAAACGGUGACGUUUUGUUUAAAAUAAAAUGAUAAAAUGCCGCUAUUUGCUUACCUUUUGCGGCGUUUUUCUCAUAAACGCCGCUAAUGCCUUUGAUACUAAUAAAUAUUUAAAGUUAAGAUUCAAUCCAAUUUUCUUCUUGUUUAUAUAUUUGAAAGGUUUAAUUAUUUCUUAAAUUCCUUUAAAUUAAGUUUGUUUUGUCUCAAACAAUAUAUUUAAUUUGUAAAUUUUGUAAUUGUGUAAGAAAUUAAUUUUAAAAAAUGAAACCAAACUUCCUUACGAAGACUUUGUAUCCACGAGUUUAAUUUUUUGUGCAGCUGAUAGAAUUUAUCCAAUUUGAUGAUUUUGAUAAAUUAUAUUACUGUCUAAACCCUAAACCCUAAACUAUAAACUUUAAGCCCCUAACCCCUAAAACCCUAACCCUAACCCUUAAACACACAACCAUAAACCAUAAACCCUAAACCCUAAACCUACACCCUAAAUUAUAACCAUUAAACUCUUAACACUAAACCCUAAACCUUAAACCCUAACCCCCUAAAUCCUAAACCUUAAAACUAAACCAUAAAAUCUAAAUCCUAAACUCUAACCCUUAAACCCCUAACACCUAAACCUUAAACAUAAAACCCUAAACCAUAAACAUAAACCAUAAACCAUAAACAUACACCCUAAAUCGUAACCAUUAAACUCUUAACACUAAAUCCUAAACCUUAAACCCCAAACCAUAUACCUACACCCUAAAUAUAUAUAUUACAAGGGACAAAAGUAAUUAAAAAAAUCUUAUUGCUUACAUAAACCUUAAAAUAAAUUGAUUUUUGUCAUUUUAUCAAUAACCCUAACCCUUAAACCUUAAUAACCUAAACCCCUAAAACCAUGAAUAGUACUAAAACCCUAACUAUAAAAUAAUAAACCUCAAACCUCAAACUCUAAACCAUAAACCCUAAACUCACAGAUACCAUUUACUUAAAUCUGAUCUCCACCUUCUGUCUGAAUGCUAAAUCUCUUUUUACAGCAAUCCAAAAUCACUCCAUGUUCAGAUAAGCAAUCCAUUCCUAGUAUUAUAUUAAAAUCCCCAAAUGGCAUAAUCAACAGGUCAACAGGAAAAGUUUUAUUCUUUAUAAUUAACGGGUAUCUCAGACAAACCUGAUUCACUACUACUGUUUGCCCCAAUGGACUCGACACUUCUACAGACACUCUAGACAUCUCAGAUUUAAAUUUUCCCAGUUCAACUAAUUUUGAAUUUAUAUAAGAGUGUGAAGAUCCGAGAUCAAUAAAAGCAUAAUAAGCUCCGAAUACAGUAAAAAUAUACAUGUUACUACAUCGUGGGUAUCGCCUUCUUCCCGAGUUCUAACCACGUAAGCUCUAGCGGGUACUUUAGCUUCAGAUUGUUGGGUAACAAUAUCACUGCUCUUCCUAACACCUCCUUCUCUGGAAACCGAGCUACCUGUACCUGACCCUCUGCCUCUAGCAGUAGAUACUAAUCUCUGUGAUGUCACGGGUGCAACACUAUCAGUUUUCAGACAAUCUCUGAUGAAAUGGUCUGUAGAACCACAUUGAAAACAACCUCUAGUUAAUUUCCAGCACUCCCCUCUGUGUUUCUUUCCGCGAUGCUGACAGUCUGGAAUUUCUACACUCCGAGGUGGACCUCUCACACUACCAGUAGAUACUGUUGUCUGUUUCCCUUUGCUUCUACCACCUCUAUCUGAUCUAAAACUGGAUCUCCAACCACCUUGGGAUUCCUUUGAUCUUUUUGGCUGUGGAUUUAAACUUGUAGUUCCCGCACGUUUCCUAUUUAAUCUGACACUUUCAAUCUUUUUGUCGAGGCCUAACACUUGCUCUACCAUUUUGGCUCGCUCAAUCAAAUCUACAAGCUCAAUAAUCCGGUGAGAUACUAACUGUACCUUGAUCUCGUCUCGCAAACCCCGUAAAAAUCUUUUGCAACUAUCAGCUUCUGUUGGAAUAAACUCGGAGGCAUUUCUGCUGAGUCUUGAGAAUUCUCUCUCAUAAUCUAUUACCGACAUAUCACCCUGUUGUAACAUUAAAAACUCUUGUUUCUUGUCUUCGAUAUACAUCUCUUCGACAUAUUUCUUUUGAAAUUCCUUCUGAAAUAGAUCCCAUGUUAUCUGAUCAUCCGGUAAAUGUCGAACCACUGAUUACCACCAUAAAUAAGCUUCCCCUUAUAGUAAUGAUACAACACAAAUUAAACACUCCCAGGGGGUACAGUCCAAUUGCUGCAAAAUUCUUUUAGUCGACUCCAUCCAAUUUUCAGCUGCGGAUGGAUCGACUCCUUUUAGACCCAUAAAUUCAGUAGCACCAUAUUUCCUCAGUUCUUUUAUGGGGGCCCGUAUUUGAGUAGGUGCUGAAGUUGUAGCAGGAGUAGUUCCUGCUACUCUUUAUAGUGCAUCGGUAAUUACUCAUAAUAUAUCAGAAUCAUAUCUAUCAUUUCUUCUAGGUGGAUUUCUUACUGGAUUUAUGCUAGAUGUAACUGACUCCGUUUCAUCUAAUCUAUACGACUACUCGUCUCUGGUAUACAUUUCUUCAUCAGUAUCAUUUAUUCUUUCAUCAGACAUCUUUAAUCUAUAAAACAUAAACAAACAAUUAGGUUAGCAUCCAAGAAUCCCGACUCAGUUUUGACUCAUCAGUGGCAUGUACCUCUAGACUCAAUUCCGAGCCUGAUUUAGACUGAGAAUCGACUAAACCUGAUAGCUCUGAUACCAAUAAAAUGUAACACCCCCUAACCCUAAUCUGUCGCCGAAAUAAGGUUACGAGGCAUUACCGGACAUAUCAGACAAUCUAUAAACAAUUUGUUAAAUAAAUAACAAACAUAUUAUAAUAUAAUCGUAAAUUCAUAUAAAUAUUUAUUUUACUAAUUGACUUCAUUAUUAUUAUUUUAUUUUAUGUGAUUAAAAAAACUCAAUAUAACCCAUUUAUAAAUAUUUAACCUUCCCUGCAAUUUCAAACCGCAACCAAUUCACAAUUCAUAUAAUUUCAUGUUCAAAUAACGUAAACAUAUUUUAAAAAUUAACUUAGUAAUUUACUAAAUAAAUAUUCGCAUAUAUUGUUUAAAUAAAUAAACUUCAUUCAUUCAAUUUCAGUUUUAGCACCAAACAUACCAUUUUAUAACUUAACGUUUCAUUUAUCAUUCAAACAUUAGAGACCAAUUCUUUACAACCAAAACUUACAAGACUCUUUAAUAAGACCAAAGUACAUGCCACAUUUACCAAAGGAAAAAUACAUCACCAAAGUUACGCUGAAGUCGGGAUUGAUUUGGAUGCUGAACCGGGACCUUUGACUUCUAUCGACCUGCGCACGGAAACAACUAUACGCUGAAUAUUUCAUACUCAGUGGUAUUACCAUAAUUCAAAUUAUAACAAUAAUAAACAUGUAGUGCAUAAAUCAUACAUACAAAUUUAAAUUUAAAUUCAAAUUUCAUAUUUCAACAAUAACAAUUCAUCAAAUAAUAUCAUAUGUCCACAAUUUUAAACUUGGACACAUCAUGAACCUUAGGUUCAUUCCUCAAUUCCAUAUCACAUUUCAAUUCACAAUUUAACUUUUUCAUCUCAUUUCAGUAGCUCGAUUGAUCAAUUCAUUCGGUUUAUCAUUUCAUUAGUUACCCUAUUAACAAAAUUCAGAUUUUGGCGGAUACACGGAUCCAACCAAACACUCCAGUAUGGCACCCAGUGCCUCAUCGGAUAGUUCGAAGCAAUAGUUGACACCCAGUGUCUCAUCGGCAAAGCCGAAGAAAGUUGGUACCCAGUACCUCAUCGAAUCUGUAACAACCCGGUUUUGACCCUAAUCGAAACAGUGGUUUCAGGACAACAAAUCUGAGUCUAAAAAAUAUUUUAAUAUUAUUUUAUGUCUUUAUUAUGUGUCAAUUUAUUUGUGUGAAAAUUUCGUGUGAAAAUUUUAUCGUUUGUGUGCUCGAUUUUAUAAAAGGACUUAAUCACGUAAAAUGCAAAAGUGGCUGGCAAUUUGUUAAAGUACUAUAUUGCCAUGGCUUUUAUAAUGUGGGGUCCUUAUGUUGAUAUUAUACCAUUGAAUUUUUGAGUGGAUUUUUAUGGACAUGGUUAGUUAAUUAUUAAAGUAAAAUCAUUAAUGUUAGUUUUGUAAAUUAGUUAAAUAUAUUAAUAUAAUAAAACAUAAAAUAAAAGCCAUGCAUGUUAUUCAUCUUUUUGGCCGAAUGUGAGAAGAAAAGAAAGUCAUUUACCUUGUUAAGAGUUCGGCACUUUCAAGUUUGGAUUUAGGUAUAGAUUUAGUUCGGUUUUUGAUAAUUUUUAUGUUUUUGAGAUUGUUGCUUUGAAUACUUCACAACCCAUGUCUUAAUUUUGUGAAUUGUUGAUGAUUUUGAAAUGUGCCAUUGAUGAAUGCUUGAACAUUGUGAUAGUUGAUGAUGAAAAAUGAAAGAAAUGUGAUAGAUUAACAUAUUUUGUCUUUGAAUUUUUAGUGAAUUUGAGAAAUUAGAGCUAAAUUGUGAAAAUGAAUUCUUGAGGGAUUAAAAUGUGAAAUAAAUGAAAUGUGUGGACUUGUAUGAAGACAAGGAAUAUUCGGCCCUAGCUUAGUGUGGGCAAAUUUUGUGUAUUUUGUGUUUUGCGUAAAAAGGAUUAAAUUGCAAAAAGUGUAAAAUGUUAGGGGCAAAAUAGUAAUUUGCCCAUUUAUGUAUUUUUGGACUAAAUUGAAUGUUUUGAUGAAUAAAAAGGUUAAAUUUGAUUAUGUUUAGAUCAAGAAACGAAGAAAACAGAUUUGGAUUGGGGGAAAACGAAAGUAAUUGAAUAGUCGAUCUUGUCCGCUGAUAUCCGAGGUAAGUCUAAUAGCAAAUAAACAUCAUUACAUUAGUAUAUAUAUGUUCUAUAAGCAAAAAUAUAAUGGUGUGAAUUGUAUAAAAGUGUUAGCUGAAUGUAUAUAUAUGUUUUGAAUUUUAUAAGUUAAAAAUAAAAUGUAUGAAUUGUAUAUAUAUAUAUAUAUGUGUGUGUGUGUGUAUGUGUGUUAGUCAAUGUAUAUUUGAGUUUUAUAAGUUAAAAUAAAUUGCAGAAAUUCUAUAUAUAUUUAGCCGAAUAUAUAUAUGCUGGGUUUUGUAAGUUGAAUGAAAUUUAAUGAAUUACAUAUAUGUUAGCCGAAUGUAUAUAUAUGUUUUGAAUUUUAUUAAAAUGUAUGAAUUGUAUAUAUAUGUGUGUGUGUUAGUGAAUGUAUAUUUGAGUUUUAUAAGAUAAAAUAAAUUGCAUAAAUUCUAUAUAUAUUUAGCCGAAUAUAUAUAUAUGCUGAGUUUUGUAAGGUGAAUGAAAUUUAAUGAAUUGCAUAUAUGUUAGCCGAAUGUAUGUAUAGAAUUCAAUAGGUUGAAAUUAAUCAUAUGAAUUAUAUGUAUAUUAGCCAAUGUAUGCUUUGAGUUCGAUAAUUUGAAGCUUAUAGUAUAAAAAAAAUAUAAUAACCGAAUGCAUGUAUUGAGUUCUAUGAGCUGAAUUUACUGAUAUGAACUAUACAUAUGUUAUUCGAAUGUAUGUUUGCUACGAAGAUUAGAAUAUAAUUCGAUUUUUGCUGAGAUACGAUUAUUGAAAAGAUUUAUAUGAGAUAUAAAGAAUAUCUAGAUUUUCUUAUAAAGAAUUUUGUGAAAGACCAAUUUCAUAUCCGUGGUAUUCAGGCUCGAUGCCUAGCAGGCUUAAUGCCGGUGAAUUAUUUUAGACUUUAUGUCUAGCAGGCUUAAUGCCGGUGAAUUAUUUCAGACUUUAUGUCUAGCAGGCUUAAGGCCGGUGAAAUGAUUUGGACNNNNNNNNNNNNNNNNNNNNNNNNNNNNNNNNNNNNNNNNNNNNNNNNNNNNNNNNNNNNNNNNNNNNNNNNNNNNNNNNNNNNNNNNNNNNNNNNNNNNNNNNNNNNNNNNNNNNNNNNNNNNNNNNNNNNNNNNNNNNNNNNNNNNNNNNNNNNNNNNAUGAUUUUGGGUUAUAUAUAAUGGAUAAGUACAUGAACAUUUAUUUAUAUGUAUUUGAUGAGCAUAUAAAUGUUUGGAUCUAUGUGUUUAGUGAAUAGGCACAUAUAUUGGUUGUUAUGAAAAUUGUUGAAUAUACAUGUAUGCAUUCGGCACAUGUGGGUUAGAAGUAUAAAUGUGCAUUUGGUUCAUGUAGUUGAUAAAUAAAAAUAUAAGCUUUUGACAUAUGUAUUUGUAAGAUCAUAGAUAUGCAUUCGACGAAAUGCAAAUGGUAAGUAUAUUAGAAAUUAGUAUAUGCAAUUAAUGAUUAUGUUUGUAACUUGAUUAUAAGCAUAUAAUGUUUAUACAUAUGUUCGUUUAUAUGUAUUUUUAAUAUGCUAUAAACUUACUAAGCUAUAAAAGCUUACUUUGAUUGUUUUUGUCCAUUUGUUUUAUAGAUAAAAACCAAGUUGCAGACUCGGGGAUCGUUAGCGAAGAUCAUCACUCUAUCUACUAUCUCAGUAUUAAAACGUUUAAAUUUUAACUUAUGGCAUGUAUAGGCUAAAAAAAAAUAUUUUUGGAGCCGUACUUUAAUGUACUGUAUAUAUAUAUAUAUAUAAUUAAUAGCCAUAUGAAACUAGCUUAUUUUUCUUACGGUUUAAUUGAACUGAAAUGUUAUGUUUUGUUAUAAAAGGUUAAAGUAAAAAUUUAUAAUUAUACUUACUUCAUAUUUUACUAAUUUAACAUAAAUGUAAAAUUCUUGAAUUCUACUGAAUGUCUGUGUUAAGUUGCGUUUUAUCUUGUAACGAUUUGUAACCCUAAUUUAUCGACGUAUACGGGUUAGGAGUGUUACAGAAUCUAUCCGAAGAAAUAUAGUGACACCCAGUGUCUCAUCGACUCGAGUUCGAAGCAUCCCUGAACUCUUCCAAUCCUAUGGCAUGCCAACUAUAUUCGACUCAGCCCGACUAUUUAAUAGGUUCUCCAAAUUCACAUUUCAAUUCAAUCCACUUUUUCACUUUCAAUCACAAUUCAAUUCAAAAUUCACUUUUCCAUUUUUUCUUUCAAAUCAAUAUUCAACUCAAUCCACACAUAUAUUCAUCAUUCGAUUGAAUUUCUUUAACUUAAUAAUAAUACUUACCUUAUAUUUCACUUACCAUACAUAUAAAUUUAAAUAUAGCAUUUAAUAAUAAGUUAUUUGAAUUAUAGUAAUACAAACCCGAAAUCCGCGAUUACUCCUCGAUGAUCUUCUCUUUUCCUUUCUAUGCCGAUGUCUCGGGUUCUUUAUUAGCUUCGAAAAAUGAAGAUAAUUUCAUAAUCAAUAAUAGACUAUUAAUUUAUAUCUAAUUAAUUGAAUUUCUAUUCAAAUUUCUACUUUAAUUUGAAUUUAGUCUUAACUAAAUUCACUUUUUUUUCUAUCUCAAUUCAUACUUUAUUUCAAUUCAAAUUUCAACCAAACUUAGACAUAACUAUCUAAAUUUUAUCAUAAAACCCUAAUUUCGAAGUUCUUGCAAUUUAGUCUCUACUAUGUAGAACUAAUAGCUUCUUUUACAAUUUAAUCCUUCAAUCAAUUCUAACUAAAAAUUCAUUCAAUUAAACCUCUAAUUCAACAAUUUGUUCAACAUAUAUCAUGUUCAAAAACCUAAAAAAAACUUCUAAAACCUCAACUUAAUUUCAACAAAACUCUAUUCUAAAGCUUCUAAAACAUCAAAAUUAAAAGAAAAUGGCUUAAUUGACUUACCCGUUAAAGCUUCAAACCUUAAAACCCUAGUUUUUCCUUUUAUUUUUCUUUUUCUCCUUUCCCUGCUCUAUUUCGAAAUCGCUAUUCUGUUUCUUCUUUCUUUAUUUGUUUCCUUUCUUUUUAUCUUAUUUACUUUAUAUUAUAUUUGAUUUAAUUAAUAAUUAAUAAUUAUAAAAUAUCUUUAUACUUAAAUUACAAGUAAAUUAUGUAUUUAAAUUACAAUUGUACCAAUAUGAUUUUUUUACACAUGUAUAUUUUUAUUACCAUACAUUUGUUACAGUUAAAUUGAUUUUAUAAUAAUAUAAUAUAAUAUAAUAUAAUAUAAUAUAAUAUAAUAUAAUAUAAUUUAUAAUAUACUUUUUAGCUAAUUAAUAUAAUAUUUUAUUAAUAUAAUAAUUUAAUAUAUAAAAUAUCUUUUACUUACAAUUCAAGAAAAUAUACAAUUAUAUUACAAGUGUACAAAUACAUAUAUUACACAUGUACAAUUUUAUCAUCAUACAUUUGUCUUUAUUUUAAUUUAUUAAUAAUAAUAGUAAUAAUAAUAGUAAUACAUAUACCGCCUCACCUAUUAAAAUGGGCACAAUUGCAUAUUUAGUCCUCUUUAUUUUAUUUUGAUCUAUAAUUAGACUUUUACCCUUUAUUCACUUUAGUCCUUUUUCUUAUUUUCUCUUAAUUAAACUAAAUUAACUUAAUUAAAAUCUAAUUAAACACAAUGCUAGACUCAUAAAUAGUCCUAAUAAUUAUCUAUUGGUUCAAUUUUCUAAGACGAAGGUUCGAUACUACACUUUUCUGAUGUCUGUGAAUUUUGGGUCAUUACAAUUUUCUUAUUAUUUUCAAAUUAACCCUCAAUGUCACGAAACUAUAAAAAAUAAAAAAAAUUAGACCAAAUUACACAAAGUGUUGUUUAGGUUAAUUUUUUUUAGAAUAAAAACUAAAUGGAUAUAAUUUAUAAAUGUUGAGGGUUAAAUUCGUUACCAUGUGAAUUUUAAAAGCAUCCACCUUUAGCCAACUGGUGGCCCAAAAAGAUAAAAUUGAAUAUUUAUGCGAUUAUUCUGUAACUUUUCAUAGUUGAAUGACCAAAAAAAAAUUUACUAUUACUUAAGUGAUUACUAGUGUAAAUUACCCUUAUUAUUAUUAAAAGAAAUAAAUUCAUUAAUAUUGCUAGUUCAUGAGCUACCCAUUAUCAAACCUCCCAGCGUGGUGAAAUAGACAUAAUUUGUUGAGGGAUAAAAACAAUAUAAAUAAUAUUUUUCAUCUUAUUAUAGACUAUUUUUAAAUUGAAUAUUGUUGAACAACUUUUAACUUUUGGAGAAAAAUAUUUGAAGUGUCGUUCAUUGGGCAUCUAGUCAAAUUCUCAACAAUGGUUAGUAAUGUUCCCUGUAAGGUUUUGUCUUUCGUAUUUGCCAAAGGUCCUAAAGGGUUCAUGAAAGGGGAACAUCUCAUUUGGUAGAAAUACAACCUGCAUUGCUCAUGUAACAAUCCAUUUUUAGUGGUACAGGAAACGAUGGUUUCAGAAUCACAUUUUUUGAUGAUUAAGUUUGUGAAUAUUAUUUUUUAAUAUUUACGAGUUUAUCUUAGUGUCAUAUUGAUUUUUUGUCUUGAAAUUUCAAUGAAACGGUUAGUAAUUAAAGUAUAAGGACUAAACCAUAAAAACCUUAAAGACUUAAUUGUUAUUAAUUUUAUUGGUUUAAAGGCUUGAAAAGUAUUAAGCCAAGUGUUGAAAUGGCAAAUUACUCUUUUAAUAGAUAGUGUACGGUUUGGUAAGCUUUGUUUACUAAAUCAUGCAAAUUUUAUAAUUAAUAAAAUAAAAUGAAAUGAGAUAAUAAUAGAACAUAUUGUAGUGGAAGGAAAGAGGGAAGGGCUAUUCCAUUUUUUUUUCUUUUUUCAUCCAUCUUCUUCACGAAAUAAGAAGAAAGAAUUAGGGCUCUUAACGUCGAACUUUUGGCCUUGUGCAUGGUACAAAAAUUUCAUUCUUUUCUUGUAAUUUUUAUGUUUUUGAGAUCGUUUUAUUUUGAUUUAGCUAACUCGGGUAUUAAAUCGUAAAACUAUUAAAGUUUUAAAAAGUUACCAUUGUUGUUCUUUGAAGCUUUUGAUGUUCAAUAGAUGAAUGUUAAGCUUGGAAAUGAAAUAGGGACUAGUUUGUAAAGAAAAAUUGGUUAAUUUUGACUCUAGGAACUAAAAUGCAAUUAUUUCAAAAUUGUCAUGGAAUUUCUAUACUUUUGGCUUUUAUUGAGUUAUAAAAGGAAGAAAUUAAAAAUGGAGUGAAAAACAGAGCUUAAAUGUGAAAGAUAUGAUUGUUUUCAAAUUUUAGGACUCAAUUGAAUAAAAUGUGAAACUUUAAAAUUUUUAAAAAAUAAAGAAAAUAGAUCCAUGCAUAUCAUAUUAUGGAAAAAGUACAUACACAACAUUCAACACAACAAAUUUUCUGAUUUUAAUGUUCAACCUUGACAUAGGGCCUCCUUGAUCAUUCUAUCAAAGUUGGUAACAGAAGAUCCUCCAACGCUAAUGGCAGAUUUAGCUUUUUUCUUCCAUUCCAAUGCCUUUUACCUUAUCCUUUGCCCAUUAUCUCCUUCCAUUAUCUCUUUAACAAGAGCCUCCACAUCCUUACACUUUACAUCAGGGUUGAUUUCCAUUCUAUUGCCCCAUGUGGUGCACGAAUAUCAACAAUUUGUUUGUUGAUCACCAAAGAAAGGCCAACAAAUUAAAGGCACACCUUCGGAUACAACUUCCAACAGAGAAUUCCAUCUGCAGUGUGUUAAGAAAAUGCCAACCGCUAGGUGGGACAACACUUGUUGUUGGGGACACCAGCUUGUUAUAAAGCCCCUUUCUUUUAUUGCCUCCAUGAAUUCUCUCGGAAAAACAACCGAUUCUCCCAUCACAAUGUCAAGCCUAACUACCCAUAAAAACGGGUAUUUACUAUUUGCAAGUCCCCAAGCAAAUUCUUCCAAAUGAUUGUUCGACAUCAUUGUUACACUCCCAUAAUUCACAUACACCACCGACUUGGGUUUCAUUUUGUUAAGCCAUUCGAUGCAACUUGUAUCCUCCUUUCAUAGGCUUGAAUUUAGUGAGUUAUGUUGGAUUUCAAGUAGGUUCCUACUUAAGGAGGUGAGUGGACCAAUUGCAUAAAUAUUAGGGGACUUAGAUGCAAGAACUUGUAGCACUUCUUUGUCCAAGUCAUCGAACGUGUUGAAGAUUGUUGAAGAUGAAUUUAAGCAUUCUUGUGAUAUGUCCAUGAUGUAAUUAAACAUGAAGUCAUCAGGCUCAGUGGUUCUUAUGAAGCUUGGUAUGUCCUUGAGACAUAUGUUAGGCAUACCAGAGAUCCAAUCAAUGCGCAUCUCAAGUGUCCCAUCGUUAGCAAAGCUUUCAUCUACAACGAAAACAAAAUGCAUGUUUUUGUUUCAAUAUGCAAAAAAUAAGCAUGGAGUAUGUUGCGUGUAACCCAUAGAACUUCAAAGAGAUUAUUAUCAAUGAACAUAAGAUAUCCCAAAAUUAAGUUACAAAGCACAAAGAAAACAUAAACUUUGUAACCUUUGAAUGGAACAAUGCCUCUUUGAGCUAGUUCUUUGUAGUGCAGAAAUCCCAGAAAGCUAACGGUUGAAGAAGUCCAGAGUUGAACAUAAGGCACCCCAAUGAGUUGAGCUGCCUUGGUACCACAGUUCAUGAUUCCAUCACAAACUAUACAAGUAGUAGGCUGUAGUUGGGGUGAGGAGUUAAGCUUAGAUAGUAGCUCCAAGAAUGGAGCCAAACAAUUAUUUCGUGUGGCAAUGAAUAUUUCCGGAACAGACUGAGUCGCAUCAGAAUCGAAAGGUGGCAGCCCAUCGGGUAUUGCUGCAAAUUGGAAAUCAGGCAGACCCUUAAUGUUGAAUGUUGGUCAGUAGGCAACAAUGAACCAAACAACAAGCAGGCCAUGACGACCUAGCCAUGCAGGAGCUGCUGGAAGAAGCUCAACUGUUCUAAUUUUUGUUCAUUUUGUAAUCUUAAGUUAAUGUAAUGUACUUUAGUUCAAUUUCAACUAAGUUAGGCUUGUGAUUGAUGUAAUUAGAUUGUGUAUGAACUGUAAACUCAGCUUUAACCAUUCUUACAAGUUUUAUUUUUCAAGUUUCAAUGUAUUAGUGGUGGUAGGUAAUGUUUAGGUGACUGCGUACUAUUUUUUGACAAGCUUAAUGCUUGGUUUAUGUAUUAGCAUUGUGCCAUUGUUCAAUUUGAAUGAAUUCAGAAAGUUUUCUUCCAUAUACUCUCUAAAUUUUCUUUGUUUUUCCUUAUUUUAUUUUGUCUUAAGCUCGAUUAUUUCUUAGGCAAGCCUCGAGCCUUGCUGUUCAAGUUUCUGCAAACUUGUUUGUUUCUUUGUUCUCAACACCAACAAUUGAUAUCUAGAGCUUUAAUCUUAAGGGACCUAUUAUACAAAACGAUGGCCUCAUCAAGCUUCUCACAAGCUGCACCACUAGUCUUCAAUGGAGAGAGCUAUCACAUAUGGGUGGUUAAAAUGAAGACCUACCUGCAGGCAUUUGAUCUGUAGGAGGUGGUCAACUCAGAUGUUGAACAAGAGCUACUUAGAGCCAAUCCAACAAUGGCUCAAAUCAGGCAGCAUGCUGAUGAAAGGACCAAGAGGCGCAAAGCCAUGUCUUGCAUCCAGAACUCGAUGUCAGAUGUGAUCUUUACAAGGAUCAUGGCCCGUGAAACACCAAAGCAGGCCUGAGACAAAUUAAAAGAGGAGUUUCAAGGGACAAAGAGGACAAGGCAGCAACAGUUGUUAAACUUGAGAAGGGACUUUGAGAAUUUGAAGAUGAAAGAAGAAUAAACUAUCAAAUAGUACUCAAACAGGAUUAUGGUUGUGGUAAACAUCAUAAGGCUCUUUGGUGAGCAGUUUACUGAAGCAAUGAUAGUGGAGAAGGUUAUUUCAACCUUGCCUAAGAGGUAUGAGGCAAAAAUCUCAUCUCUCGAAGACUCAAGGGACCUGUCCAGCAUAUCCUUCACAGAGUUGAUCAAUGCUCUCUAUGCGUAAGAGUAGAAAAGAGCCAGCAGACUGGAGGAGCACCAAGAAGGUGCCUUUCAGGCAAAGACCAAUACUGCCUACAAAGGCAUGAAGGCCUGGAAAGACAAGCCAAAGUUUGAUGCUGCAAGAAAAUGGGACCAAACCUGCAGGCAUUGUAAAAGGUUUGGUAAUCCAGAAGAAAAAUGUUGGUUUAGACCAGAUACAUUGUGUCAACAUUGCAAGAAGAAAGGGCAUGUUAAAAGGUUGUGCAAAAACAAGGGCAAACCAAGGUAGAACCAACCCCAACAAUCAAAGGCUGAGGCUCGAGUAGCCAAGGAAGACAGUGAUCAUAAAGAGUAAGUUUUUGCUGUGUCAUGCUCAGCUGCUCAGAAGAGGCUUUCAAAUGGCUAGCUCCUAGACAGUGGAUGCACCAACCACAUGACACCAUAUGUUGCCAUCUUCAAGUCCUUGGACAGAAGCUACAGAACCAAAGUUAAGAUUGGUAAUGGUCACUUUAUAAAAGUAGAAGGUAAGGGUGAUGUGUUGAUAUGCACUCCCACAGUUGCCAAGGUCAUCUCGAAUGUGCUAUUGGUUUUCUGAGAUUGACAGAAACCUGCUCAGCAUAGCUCAAUUGCUAGAGAAAGGGUAUUCUGUAGUGUUCAAAGGCAAGGAGUGCCAAAUCAGUGAUCCAAGUGGAUCCAAAUUCAUGGCAGUCACUAUGGCUGAUAAGAGCUUUGUACUUGAUUGGACAGAGGACUUAGACACUACCUAUACAGCUACAACAGAUGAAUCUAAGCUUUGGCAUCAAAGACUUAGUCAUGCCAACUACAGAUCAAUAGACCAGUAAUGCAGAGAUGAUUUGGCUGAAAAUUUCAUUGGUUCAGUUAAAAAGUAGGAGGUUUGUGAGGUAUGUCAGCUAGGGAAGCAAGCCAGACUCCCAUUUCCCUCAAAUCAAGCCUGGAGAGCCUUUGAAAGGUUGCAGCUAGUGCACACUAAUGUAUGUGGUCCUACGAAGACUGAGUCAUUGAAUGGAAGCAGGUACUUCAUCCUGUUUAUUGAUGAUUUCUUAAGGUUUUGUUGGAUUUAUUUCUUAAAACAGAAAUCAGAAGUAGGUUCAGUGUUUACAAAGUUCAAGAUUGCUGCUGAAACUGAAAUCGGCUGCAAAAUUAAGACCAUAAGGUCUAACAAUGGGACUGAGUACACCUCAGCUCAGUUCCAAGCCUUUUGUGAUGAGGCAAGCAUCAAACACCAGCUCACCAACACCUACACUCCUCAACAAAAUGGUCUAAGUGAGAGGAAAAACAGGAGUUUGAUGGAUAUGGCCAGGUGCCUACUGUUUCAGAAGAAUCUGUCCAAAACCAUAUGGGCAGAGGCAGUCAAUACUGCUGUGUACAUUCAGAAUAGACUUCUCACCAAGGCCCUGGCUCAUAAGACUCCAUUCGAAGCCUGGUGCGGGUGUAAACCUUCACUGGCUCAACUAAGGGUCUUUGGUAGCAUAUGCUAUGCUCAUGUACCAAUAUUAAAGAGAGACAAAUUAAGUAGAAAAGCUGAACCUGGUAUACUGGUGGGGUAUAGCUUAGUCAAAAAGGGCUAUAGGAUCUUGGACCCUUCAACAAGCAAAGUGUUAGUAAGUAGGGAUGUAGUAAGUAGGGAUGUAGUGUUUGAUGAGAAGUCAUGCUAGAAUUGGGAAAAGAAUGAGCCACAGGCAGUUUCUGAAGAUCUUGUAACAAAUCAAAUUGAUUCAGAUCAAAAUGGUCCUGAAAUGGACAUUGAUGAUGAACCAGUCAGGGGCACUAGACCUUUGGCUAAAAUCUAUGAAAGGGCUCAAGUAGCCAUAGUAGAGCCAAGCUGCUUUGAAGAGGCUGAAGCUCAGCAAGGGUGGAAGUAAGCAAUGGCUGAUGAAAUCAGCAUGAUUGAGAAGAAUCAGACUUGGGAAUUAGUUGAAAGACCAACAAAAAGGAAGAUCAUUGGAGUGAAAUAGGUUUAUCGAGCCAAGCACAAUGCUGAUGGGAGCUUGAAUAAGUUAAAAGCAAGGUUGGUUGUUAAGGGAUUUAGCCAGAAGUAUGGUUUAGACUACCUGGAGACCUUUGCACCAGUGGCCAGACUCGACACCAUUAGGCUGCUGAUUGCCUUAGUAGCACAAAUGGAAUGGAAAAUCCACCAUCUCGAUGUGAAAUCAGCCUUCCUAAAUGGAUUUCUUGAGGAAGAAAUCUAUGUUGAACAACCAUAGGGUUUUGAAGUGGUUAGCAAAGAACACAUGGUCUACAAACUGAAGAAAGCCUUGUUUGGCUUAAAACAGGCUCCAAGGGCCUGGUAUAGCAGUAUUGAUAGCUAUCUGAUCAGUUUGGGAUUUGAAAGAAGCAAGAGUGAGCCAACUUUAUAUGUCAAGAAGGAAGGUGCACAAACUCAGCUCAUAGUAUCUAUGUAUGUUGAUGACCUGCUAGUGACAGGAGGAGAUCAAACAAUGCUGAUUGAUUUCAAAACCAAAAUGUAACAAGUGUUUGAGAUGUCUGAUCUAGGAAAGAUGACCUAUUUUCUAGGCAUGAAAGUGACACAGAUGCACAAUGGGAUUUUCCUAAGUCAGAAAACCUUUGCUUCAAAAAUUUUGACCAAGUUCUCAAUGGGAAACAAUAAAGCAACAAAGACUCCUGUUGCUAUUGGAGAAAAGUUAUCGACCAAUGGUGAGUUUGUGAAGGUUUGUGAAACAACCUAUAUGAGCUUGGUUGGUUGCUUGUUGUACUUAACAGCCACUAGGCCUGAUAUUAUGUUCACAGUAAGUUUGCUCUCAAGGUUCUUGCAUUGCAACAACGAAAAGCUAUGGCUUGAUGUAUAGCAAAGCUGAAAGCUUCAAGUUAGUUGGAUACACUGACAGUGACUGGCCUGGUUCGAUUGAUGACAUGAAAAGCACUUCAGGGUAUGCCUUCAAUCUCGGUUCAGCCAUGUUCUGUUGGAGCUCGAAGAAGCAAACAUUGGUGGCUCAAUCUACUGCUGAAGUAGAAUAUGUUGCAGUAGCAAAUGCUGUCAACCAAGCCAUUUGGCUAAGGAAAAUUAUGGUUGAUUUGAAUUUAGAUCAAAGGGAAGCAACAAAGAUCUUUUGUGGCAAUCUAUCUGCUGUUGCAAUUGAAAAGAAUCCAGUGUUCUAUGGAAGAACAAAGCAUUUCAACAUUAAACUUCAUGUUGUUCGAGAAAUAGAGUAGGCACAGGAGGUGAAACUGAUUCAUUGCAAUUCAGAGGAUCAACUUGCUGACAUUUUGACCAAGGCCCUUAGUGCAACAAGGUUCUAGCACUUAAGGGAGAAAUUAGGAGUUUGCAACAUGCUAACCAAAGAGGAGAGUUGAAUGUUUAUCAGCAUGCGACAAUAAACCAAAUAGCAAGUAGGCCAUGAAGACCUAGCUAUGCAGGAGCUGCUGGAAUAAGCUCAACUGUUCCAAUUUUUGUUCAUUUUGUAAUCCUAAGUUAAUGUAAUGUACUUUAGUUCAAUUUGAACUAAGUUAGGCUUGUGAUUGAUGUAUUUAGAUUGUGUAUGAGCUGUAAACUCAGCUUUGACCAUGCUUACAAGUUUUGUUUUUCGAGUUUCAAUGUAUUAGUGGUGGUAGGUAGUGUUUAGGUGACUACUUACUAUUUUUGGACAAGCUUAAUGCUUGGUUUAUGUAUUGGCAUUGUGCCAUUGUUCAAUUUGAAUGAAUUCAGAAAUUUUUCUUCCAUAUACUCUCCAAAUUUUCUUUGCUUUUCAUUCUUUUAUUUUGUCUUAAGUUCGAUUGUUUCUUAGGCAAGCCUCGAGCCUUACUGUUCAAGUUUCUGCAAACUUGUUUGUUUCUUUGUUCUCAACACCAACACUUAAUAGCUUCUUAUCCUCUAGACCGUAUCAACUGUCUAUGAUUGAACUCGGAGUUGACAAAGGUUAUAUAGAAGCCUCUAGAGUGCAAGAGCUUGGCCAGUUGCAUCAUGGGGUUAAUAUGACCUUGUGUUGGGAAUGGGAGGCAUACUGCAUGCAAUUUAAUUGAAACCAUCUUUCUGCAAAUAAUAAUUAAGCAAAGAAGUCAAGUAGGUAGUGAAAAUUGAAGAUACUAUUACUAACUUGUGACAUUAUAUGCAGAAAGUGAGGGGAUAGAGAUAAACAGGAUAAAGCAGGCGAAAAUUAUGGCUCCAUUUAAUUAUGGUGUAAAAUAAUUGCCAUUGGAUGAGGUUGAGAAAAUAUCAACUGCUUCUUAAUAGUGCUUAAUAAUUCUAAGCCACGUGAGUUUGGAUGGGUGAUUGGGUGUGGUGCGGUGAGUUUAGUUUACUUUUUAUUUCACGUUACAGUAUCGCUACAGUAUCUAAACUCACCGCCACAGAAAUUUUUACACUAACCGUAAGUAAAAACACCGUUCAUUCAAACCCAUAAAAGUAACAAUAUUCAAAAGUGAAAGUUACUUGCGCUUAGUAAAUAAUGUGUUAUAAUUCGGUAAGGAAUGAAUUUAAACAUGCUUGAUAACGAUUGGUGAGAGAUGCAACGAAAAUACAUUCAAGAAUUUUGAUAUGUUAAUCUAUUGGCAAUGCCUCCUUUUUGUUUUUCGAAAUUGACUGCUCAAAACAAGAAACAAUGCCUUUAAAAAUGUGGGACAACCAAAUAAGAACCUGGUUUGAAUAAAUUAAACCUGGUUUGAAUAAAUUAAGGCAUUGUCUUUCCCCUGUUUCUUGUUUUCCACCUUUUUCCUUAAUGAAUAAAUUUUUUUUUGAUUGAAAAAAAAUUAAAAUAAUUAUUUGAAUGAACUAAUGUUUCUAUAAUAAUAAAUAAUUCAAAUUUUACUAAAUAAAAAAAUUACAGUAAUUAAAUCUCAAAUUUAAACAUAUAUAAUAAAAGGAUCAUAAUUAUAAUUAUAAAAUGACCGAAUAUAAUAUAUAUCAAACACAAAUUAUAUCAAAUAAAAAUGUAGCAACUAAAUCAUAAAUUUGCAUAUAGUAAAAAGAUAAAUUUACUGAUUAAAAAUUUAAUUAAAAUUCUUAAUUAAUAAAUAAAAAAUUUCAAUCAUCUAGAUUUUAUAUUGAAGAUAUAAUUAUUUUACAUAAACAUCUAUCUAAAUUUUAAUAAACAUUAGAAUAAAUAUCAUCAUUUAAUAUAAAAAAAUUAUAAUAAGUUGGUUUCAAUUAUAUUCAAAUACUUUAUGACCAAUUAAAUUAAUUAGGUAGCAAUUUUUUAGGGAAUGUAGCUAUUCUUAUUAUUUAUUAUUAAGGUUUAAGGGUGAAGAAACUCUUAAAUUUUUUUUAGAAAAAGUAAUUAAGUUUUUUUUUUACACUCAAUUUGGUAUUUAAAUUACCAAAAUAUAUCAAAAAGACCUUUUGGCCAUUUAUUUUAACAAUUGACUAUUAAAGUUGUCUUUAAACUUUUCCAGUUAAAUCCACCACGUGUCACAACUACGGCGUGACACGUGACAAAAAAAAUUAUAAAAAAAUAAAUCAACAAAAGUUAUAAAAAUUAUUAAAUUUUAAAAAAUAUAUUUAAAAUUUAUUAAAAAUUUUAAAAAAUAUAAAUAUCGUAAAAUUUUAUAAAAUCAUAAAUAAAUAUAAAAUGUAUCAAAAGGGCCCUUUAACUAUUGAUCGUUAAAGUUAAUGACCCUACUUUUUUUCAAUUAAAGUAAUCACGUGUCGCAACACAACGUGACAUGUGACAAAAAAAAUGUGGAUUGGUUGUGAGGAUGUUGUAAUUGAUUUAAUUCAUAAUGUUGUUGUCUAAGUUGCUUGCUAGAUGAUGUAGUCGGCUCAACUAUGGGUUGACUAGGGAUUGCAGGAUGGAGUGGCUACUCGUAAUGGCAAGGCAAUUGUACCGACAUGUUUUACUUAAUGGUUUAGAUACCUAACUUCAAAAGUGUAUGCAAUUUGAAUUGCUCUAGAUGUUUUUGUGCAAACAGAAUGGAUCCCUCAUAGCAGAAUCUCAAAUGUGUUUGUGGAAUCUCGUAUGCUUAACAAUAUCACUCAAAUGUGUCAAGGGAAGUUAUUUGUAUGGAUGCUGCCUUGGCUAAUAAACGAUAGGGUAUUAAAAUUUGAGUUGUUUUUGGGUUGGUGGACAUUUAUUUUUUGCUUUAUUGUUCUGGUCUCUAAUGGACUGCUUCAAGCGAGACGCAUAUUAGAUGCGCCUUGUAGUGUGUUUCUUAUGGGUUCUGUUUGUGUUUCGACUUUUUUUUAUUUUGUUGCUCUGUUCUGGUCUUUUUGUUGUGCGGAAGCGUGUAAAAGAGUAAAAUUAUUGUACUAAAAAAUCACACUAAGUUCAAUUUCCAGGAAAGAGAGGUGGAUCAUAAGGAUCGCUUAAGUACCAGGUCUUUCCUAGCCAUAAUAUCCCCCAAUCGUAAUUUAAUAUCACAAUAAAUCACUACAAUAAAACUCACAAAAUAUGCAGAAUAAUACCAUAAAGAACACAAGAAUUCAGUAAAUUUUGCCUACGUCCUCGGGCACUAUCAAAUAUAUUUCACUCCAAAAUACAAGUGAAAAUUUACAAAGAGAGAGAGAACAAUGCCUUAAGUAGAAAAUGGCAAAUAUAGGAUACUAUAAAUGAGAGAUGGUUAGGCCUAUUUAUAGUUGAGGUUCAGGGAUCAAAUUGCAAAGGCACUAUACAAUUAGGGACCAAAUAUUCCAAAUAUCUCAGAUUUCUUAUGUCAAUAUUUCGAAACCCAUAUCUUUGACUUUCCAAUAUUUGAUACCCAUAUCUUUGACUUUCCAUAAUAUGGAUGAUUGCCAAUAAUCUCCACCUUGAAGGUUUGAUUCGAAUAAUCUUAUCUUUACACAAUUCUCUCUGCCUUUGUCAACAACACUUGAUAGUGCCUUCUUCAACUGUUAAACUUGCAGAAUAUUGAUCAAGUUCAAACAAUGUUCGAACUUGAUUGUUGUUACCACCUUGGUCAUCAUAUCUGCGGGAUUAUCUGCAGUCUUAAUCUUCUGAAGGUGAAUUUUCCCCUCAUCAAUAAUUUCCCACACAAAAUAGAAACGUAUGUCGAUAUGCUUUGUACGUGCAUGAUAGACUUGAUUCUUUGCUAAAUGAAUAGCACUUUGACUAUCACAAUACACGUUAAUAUGCUCUUGAACCAAUCCUAAGGUUUUAACCAUACCUUGUAACCAAGUAGCUUUAUUUACAGCCUCUGUUACAGCCAUGUAUUCGGCUUCUGUGGUUGACAACGCAACUGUAGACUGCAGUAUAGACUUCCAACUUAUUCGUCCUCCAACAAGUGUAAACACAUAACCAGUGGUUGAUCUUCGUUUGUCCAAAUCACUGGCAUAAUCAGAAUCAACGUACCCAAUAUCACCUUUACCAAGUGUAGUAACCUGCUUGAACAGUAAUCCAAUAUUCAUGGUCUUCUGAAUAUACCGUAGAAUCCAUUUCACAACUUGCCAAUGUCCUUUUCCAGGAUUAUGCAUAUACCUGCUCACUAUACUAACUACCUGUGAAAUGUCGGGUCUUGUACACACCGUUGCAUACAUCAAGCUACCUACUACAUUAGAAUACGGAACUUGUAACAUGUAUUCUUGUUCUGUAUUCGUCGAAGGAGAUAGUUGUACAGAAAGCUUGAAAUGACAAGCCAACGGGGUACUUAUAGCUUUUGUCUGCUCGUUCAUGCCAAACUUCUGUAGUACCUUCUUCAAAUAUUGCUUCUAAGACAAGCUAACUCUGCCAUGAGCUCUAUCUCUACAUAUUUCCAUGCCAAGAAUCUUCUUAGCUUCACCUAGAUCUUUUAUCUCAAACUCAAGGUUGAGUUGAGUCUUCAAUCUCUCAAUUUCAACUUUACUCUUAGAUGCUAUCAACAUAUCAUCAACAUAUAAGAGCAAGUAUAUGAAAAUUCCUUCUUGUAGCUUCUGAAAAUACAUGCAAUGAUCAAAUUUACUUCUUUUGUACCUUUGCCCUUUCAUGAACUGAUCAAAUCGCUUGUACCACUGCCUCGGAGAUUGUUUCAAUCCAUAAAACGACUUUGUUAGUUUGCAAACUCAAUUUUCUUUAUUAGCAACCUUGAAUCCAUCUGGCUGAGUCAUAUAGAUAUCCUCUUCCAAAUCAGCGUGUAAAAAUGCGGUCUUCACAUCAAGCUGAACUAGUUCAAGAUCAUAUUGUGCAAAUAAGCCUAGCGAAAUCCGAAUAGACGAAUGCUUCACAAUUAAAGAAAACACUUCAUUGUAGUAUAUUCCUUCUUUCUGAGUGUAACCUUUUGCUACCAAUCUAGCCUUGUAUCGAACUUCAUUUUUACCAGGAAAUUCUUCUUUCUUUGCAUUUACCUAUUUGCAUCCAAUUGCCUUCUUUCCUUUGGGUAGUGUCACCAACUCCAAAAUCCUAUUUUUAUGAAGAGACUGCAUUUUUUCAUUCAUAGCUUGCUUCUGUGUAAGUAGAAGGAACAUCGCCAUCUGCAAUUGGAAGUGCAUAGGCCAGCAUACCAUCAAAGCGAGUAGGCAUACGAAUCUCUCUUCUUGGCCUCCUAUAUGCAAUUGAAUCUUGUUGUUGUAGAAGUUCUUGGGUCGAAACUUCUACAUCAUUUGUUCCUUCAAUGUUAGCUGGAUCAUCAUUAACAUUUUCUAGCUCCACCUGCUACAAAUCACUACUAGUUUUGUCAUCCAUUUGUGAAUCAUUAUUCUUCAUCAUGGUUAAUUCAUCAAAAGUCAUAUCUCUACUGAAAAAAACCUUCCUUGUAUCAGGAUACCAGAGACGGUAUCCUUUUACUCCACCAGUUAUACCCACGAAUAAUGCUUUCUUUGCUCUUGGAUCUAACUUAGAUUCUUUUACAUGAUAAUAUGCAGUGGAACCAAAAACAUGAAAAGAAUCAUAAUCAGUAGCAGGUUUACCAGUCCACCUCUCUAUAGGAGUUUUUCUAUUUGUUGCAGCUGAUGGCAACCGAUUAAUUAGAUGGCACCCAUAUAUAACUGCCUCAGCCCAAAAUUCUUUGUCUAAUCCAGCAUUGGACAACAUACAUCGAACUUUCUCCAGUUGAUUCUGAUUCAUACGUUCUGCCACCCCAUUCUGUUGUGGUGUAUCCCGAACAGUGAAGUGUCACACAAUGCCCUCAUCUUGACAUACUUGUAGAAAUGGAUCAUUCUUGUACUCAGUACCAUUGUCUGAUCGAAGUCGUUUGAUCUUUCGACCAGUCUCGGUCUCCACCAACUGCUUCCAUUUCAAAAAUGCAUCCAAAAUUUCAUUUUUUUUCUUUUCAUUAGAUACACCCAUACUUUUCUUGAAUAAUCAUCAACAAAAGUAACAAAAUAGUGCAUACCUCCCAAAGAAGCCACUUUAGUAGGUCCCCACACAUCACUGUGAACGUAGUCCAGAAUUCCUUUUGUAUUGUGAUUACUGAACCAAAUUUUAUCCUCGUCUGCGUGCCCAGAAUACAAUGUUCACAGAAUUCCAAUUUGCAAGAAUUUGCACCUUUCAACAAGCCUUGCUUCGCUAAACUCUGCAAAGCUUUUUCACCAGCAUGUCCCAAUCGUAUAUGCCAUAACCUGGUUGCCUCUGAAUCUGCAUCUUUUGCAGAAGUUGUUGAUAUUGUACUUCCAUUUAAAUAGUACAUGUUAUUCCUUCUUGUGCCUUUCAUCACCGUCAAUACCCCAGUUACUACCUUUAGUAAUCCAUCUCUCAAAGUGAUUGUGAGCCCUUUAGAUUCUAGGACCCCUAAUAAGAUGAGAUUUUUCUUCAAGCUAGGUAUGUAGCGAACAUCUGUCAAGACUUGAAUUGAGCCGUUGUGAUUCUUCAAAUGGAUUGUACCUACUCCCAUUGUCUUAUAAGCGCUGUCAUUGCCCAUAAAAAUAACUCCACCUUCUAGUUCUUUAAGACUAGAAAACCAGUCCUUAUUAUGACACAUAUGAUAAGUACAUCCCGAAUCCAAAAUUCACUCAUCUGUAUAAAAUGCCAUUGCCAUGUCAACCAAGCUAAAGUCUGACUCAUCAUCAUGCUCUGCUACACAUGCAUCAGAAAUAACCUUGCCCUUUUGUAACUUAGGACAAUUUUUUUCCAAUGCCCUUUCUCAUGACAAAAGGCACAUUCAUCUUUGGCAGGUCUCCCUUUGAACUUACUCCUUCUACAAAAUUUGUUGCUGUGCGAACGACCUCUUACUGUUAAGACUUCUACAGUUGUAUCUCUAUGAUAUCUUUUAUCUUUCUUUCAAGUCUCAGAUCUAUACAACGCACUACAGACUGCAUCAAAUGUGAUUGUAUCCUUCCCAUAAAGCAAUGUGGUGGUAAGAUGAUCAUAUUCAUCAGGAAGAGAAUUCGACAACAAUAAUGACUUGUCUUUAUCUUCAAAUUUCUCAUCCAAAUUUAGCAAGUCUGCUAAAAUUUUAUUGAAUAAGUUCACAAGGUUAUUCAUCGACAUACCGGGUGUAUACGUGAAUCAAUAAAGUUUCUUUUUCAUAUAAAGCCUAUUUUCAAGACUUUUUGUUAGAAACUUUUCUUCCAGUGUAUCCCACAACUUUUUCGCUGAUGUCUCCCUCAUGACAGAGUACUUCUGCUUUUUGGCUAAACAUAGGCAGAUUAUUCCACAUGCUUGUCUAUUGAUCUUGCUCCACUCCUUGUCAUCCAUCUUGUCAGGUUUUUCUUUAAGGGCUAUACCCAGCUCUUGUUGACAUAAGACAUCCAGGAUCUCACAUUGCCACAUACCAAAAUUAUUGGUACCAUCAAAUUUCUCUACUUCAAAUUUUGCAUUGGUCAUAGUAGUCUUUGUUGAUGACGAUGUCUUUUCCAUUUUUCUCCUCAAUCCAAACUAUUGUACGUGAACAGUGCCGUGAACGAUCGUAUUCCCCAAGUACAAAUCUAGCUUUGAUACUAAUUUUUGUGCGGAAGCGUGUAAAAGAGUAAAAUUAUUGUACUAAAAAUUCACACUAAGUUUAAUUCCCAGGAAAGAGAGGUGGAUCAUAAGGAUUGCUUAAGUACCAGGCCUUUCCUAGCCAUAAUAUCUCUCAAUCAUAAUUUAAUAGCACAAUAAAUCACUACAAUCACACUCACAAAGUAUGCAGAAUAAUACCAUAAAGAACACAAGAAUUUUAACGAGGUUCAGCAAAUUUUUCCUACGUCCUCAGGCACUAAAAUUUUGUCUACGUCCUCGGGCACUACCAAAUAUAUUUCACUCCAAAAUACAAGUGAAAAUUUAAAAAGAGAGAGAGAGAACAAUGCCUUAAGUAGAGAAUGGAAAAUAUAGGAUACUAUGAAUGAGAGAUGGUUAAGCCUAUUUAUAGUUGAGGUUCAGGGAUCAACUUGCAAAGUCACUAUACAAUUAGGGACCAAUAUUGCAAAUAUCUCAGAUUUCUUAUGCCAAUAUUUCGAUACCCAUUUUUUUGACUUUUCAAUAUUUGAUACCUAUAUCUUUGACUUUCCAUAAUAUGGAUGAUUGCCAAUACUUUUUUUUAUUUUAGUUUUGAAGUUUGUAUGAUUCUAGAUUGAAGUAAGGCUUUAUUAGGGAUAUUAUGUUUCUAGUUUUUAUGGGUAAAUUAUACUUGUGGUCACCUAACUAUUAGUUUGUUUUUUUUUUGUCGGUCAACUAUAAAAAGUUACAAAAUAGUCUUUCAACUAAUACCAAAUUUCGUUUUUGAUCACCCAACUAUGAAAAAUUAUAAGAUGACUACCUAACUAUUUUAUUUUAUUUUUUUCACCAACGGGCUAAAGGUGACAGCUUUUAAAAUUGACAUAAUGGAAAUUUUAACACUCAACAUUUGUACAUUAUCAAUUUAGUCUUGAUUCUAAAAAUUCUAACCUCAACUUUUAACAUUGUGUAAUUUGGUCUUUUUUUCAAUUUUUCUUUUCUUUUUGCCCUUUUCACCUAAAAACAGAGACGGAUUUAGGGGGGUUGGCAGGGGCUCUAAACCCCCAAAAAUAGAAUAUCUGCCAUUUUGGCCCUUUAAAUUUUUUUAAAAUUUUAAAUUGCUAAAGGUAAAAUUACACUUUGGCCCCCUAAAAAUGAUAAAAUUUUUAUUUAAUCCUUUGAAAAAUAUAAAGAUAUAGAAAAUUUAAUUUUGCCCCCUACAAUUUUUUCUUGGCUUUGUCCAUGCCUAAAAAGCUAAAAAACCAAUUUUAUCAACUAAAUUUGAUUAAAAAUAUAUAAUAAAAACAAGAUGAAAACACUCAAAAUUUCAAGAUAAUAAUUGUCAUAUUUUUGUAACACCCCUUAACCCUAAUCCGUCGCCAGAACAGGGUUACGAGACAUUACCGGACAUAUCAGACAAUCUAUAAAUAAUUUCUUAAAUAAAUAACAAACAUAUUAUAAUAUAAUCGUAAAUUUAUAUAAAUAUUUAUUUUACUAAUUGAGUUCAUUUUUUUAUUAUUUUAUUUUAUGUGAUUAAAAAAAACUCAAUAUAACCCCUUUAUAAAUAGUUAACCUUCCCUGCAAUUUCAAACCGCAACCAAUUCACAAUUCAUACAAUUUCAUGUUCAAAUAACGUAAACAUAUCUUAAACAUUAACUUAGUAAUUUACUAAAUAAAUAUUCGCAUAUAUUGUUUAAAUAAAUAAACUUCAUUCAUUCAAUUUCAGUUUUAGCACCAAACAUACCAUUAUAUAACUUAACGUUUCAUUUAUCAUUCAAACAUUAUAGACCAAUUCUUUACAACCAAAACUUACAAGACUCUUUAAUAAGACUGAAGUACAUGCCAUAUUUACCAAAGGAAAAAUACAUCACAAAAGUUAUGUUAAGUCGAGAUUGAUUUGGAUGCUAAACCGGGACCUUUGACUUCUAUCGACAUGCACACAGAAACAACCGUACACUGACUAUUUCAUACUCAGUGGUAUUACAAUAAUUCAAAUUAUAACAAUAAUAAACAUGUAAUGCAUAAAUCAUACAUACAAAUUUAAAUUCAAAUUUCAUAUUUCAACAAUAACAAUUCAUCAAUUAAUAUCAUAUAUCCACAAUUUUAAACUUGGACACAUCAUGAACCUUAGGUUCAUUCCUCAAUUUCAUAUCACAUUUCAAUUCACAAUUUAACUUUUUCAUCUCAUUUCAGUAGCUUGAUUGAUCAACUCAUUCGGUUUAUCAUUUCAUUAUUUACCUUAUUGACAAAAUUCAAACUUUGGAGGAUACACGGAUCCAACCAAACACUCCAGUAUGGCACCCAGUGCCUCAUCAGAUAGUUCGAAGCAAUAGUUGACACCUAGUGUCUCAUCGGCAAAGCUGAAAAAAGUUGGUACCCGGUACCUCUUCGAAUCUAUCCAAAGAAAUAUAAUGACACCCAGUGUCUCAUCGACUCGAGGUCAAAGUAUCCCUGAACUCUUCCAAUCCUAUGGCAUGCCAACUAUAUCCAACUCAGCUUGACUAGUUAAUAGGGUCUCCAAAUUCACAUUUCAAUUCAAUUCCACUUUUUCACUUUCAAUCACAAUUCAAUUCAAAAUUCACUUUUCCAUUUUUUUUCAAAUCAAUAUUCAAUUCAAUUCCACAUAUAUAUUCAUCAUUCAAUUGAAUUUCUUUAACUUAAUAAUAAUACUUACCUUAUAUUUCACUUACCAUAAAUAUAAAUUUAAAUAUAGCAUUUAAUAGUAAGUUAUUUGAAUUAUAUUAAUACAAACCCGAAAUCCGCGAUUACUCCUCGAUGAUUUUCUCUUUUCCUUUCUAUGCCGAUGCCUCGAGUUCUUUAUUAGCUACGAAAAAUUAAGAUAAUUUCACAAUCAACAAUACACUAUUAAUUUAUAUCUAAUUAAUUGAAUUUCUAUUCAAUUUUCUACUUUAAUUUCAUUUUAGUCUUAACUAAAUUCACUUAUUUUUCUAUCUCAAUUCAUACUUUAUUUCAAUUCAAAUUUCAACCAAACUUAGACAUAACUAUCUAAAUUUUUAUCAUAAAACCCUAAUUUUAAAAUUCUUGCAAUUUAGUCUCUACUAUUUAGAACUGUUAGCUUCUUUUACAAUUUAAUCCUUCAAUUAAUUCUAACUAAAAAUUCAUUCAAUUAAACCUCUAAUUCAACAAUUUGUUUAACAUAUAUCAUGUUCAAAAACCCAAAGAAAACUUCCAAAACCUCAACUUGAUUUCAACAAAACUCUAUUCUAAAGCUUCUAAAACAUCACAAUUGAAAGAAAAGGCUUAAUUGACUUACCUAUUACAAAAGGACUUUAGAGGAAAAAGGAUGCCAAAUUGGGAAGGACCUUACGUGGUAAAGAAGGCCUUUUCUAAAGGAGCGUUGAUAUUAACCAAGAUGGAUGGCAAGAACCUGCCUAAUCCUGUGAAUUCGGAUUCAGUCAAGAAGUACUUCACCUAAAAAAAGGGAGAGGCCAAGGCAAAAACCCGCAAAGGGCGCCUUGAGACCAAAGGGGUUUUGAAUUGAAAACCCAAGAAAAGGGCAAUUCAAAUUUUGAUCAAAGGUGGGGCAUACGGUAGUCUUACUAUGCCUGAAUUAGCAGGAAGGAUGGAUGCUACAUCUUGGGGCAUCAACAAAAUACUCUGGAUCUUCUAAACACGUAUCAAGUUUAAAGGGCCCUCGAGAAGUUUCGUGUAGAAAAGCUCAUGCUACGAUAUCUGAGGCACCUAUUUUCAUCUUAUUCAUUUCGUAUCUUAGCAAAAUUUGCUAUCUUGAUUAAUUCAUUCAUUUCAAACUUUGCUCUCAAUAAAAUUUCAUCUUGUCCAUUGUACUAAUCUUGUUCAAGCAUUUUUCAUUGAAAUAACGAUUAAUGGACUAAUAAUAUUCAAGCAGAAGAAGAUCUGCAUAUUACUCUGAAAGCUUCUAAAUAGUACGAGAACCUGAAACAUGACUAUUAUUUAGAACUCACCAAACCUAAGGGUUGGAAAUAUUGAGAAAGAAGAUUCCAAAUUGUGACUAUUUCUUUGGAUUUUCUGUCAAAGAUAUCAGCUGAACAAGAAGACAGGAUAUUGCGUCAAUGAUAGAAUCUUGAUAAACAACGAGCAAUAAUAACCCAUACAUUAAAAAAGGAUCAUUCUCAUGACAUUCUGCAUUCAUGCAAAUAUCAUUCAUAUACAUCCAAUUAGGAGCAUUUGAUUCAUUCUGAUCAUGACAUCCUAAUCAUUUGGCACAAACAUAGGCCCAUGAAAUGAAUUUUACAUGUCAUGUUAUCCAGAGAAUAGUGAAAUAGAUCAAUGGAGUUACAAAUCCCAUACCCCUGAAGUUACAGUGGGAUAGAUUGAAGUCAUUAUGGUGAAUCUUAUCUUCCUGAAAUUGCAGUGGAAUAGAUUGAAGCCACCAGCCUUAUCUCCCUGAAGUUACAGCAGAGCAGACUAAAGAUAGCGAAUCUUAUUUCCCUGAAGUUGCAGUGGAAUAGAUUGAAGCUAAAUUACAGAUCUUAUCUCUCUGAAGUUGCAGUAUAGUAGAUCAUAGCUAACCUUAUCUCCCUGAAAUUGUAGUGGAGCAAGUUGAAGUUACAGGUCUUAUCUCCAUGAAGUUACAGUGGAGCAGACUAAGGGUAGCAAAUCUUAUUUCCCUAAAGUUGCAGUGGAACAUAUUAAAAGCUACAAAUGGCAAGUCUUAUCUCCCUGAAGUUGCAGUGGAGCAAACUAAAGAUAGUGAAUCUUAUCUCCCUGAAGUUGUAGUGGAGCAAGUUGAAGACAACAAAUCUUAUCUCCCUGAAGUUGUAGCGGAGUAGAUUUAGGCUACAAUUCUUAUACACCUGAAGUUGCAGUGGGUUAGAACAAGGCUACUUGAAGAAGAGGAACACCAAAGAAGUCGAGAUUUGGCAAGACCGGGCAAAAUUGGUCACUCUUAAAAGUCUUUACUCCAUUCUCGUUACACAACGACGAGCAAAGAGGGGCAGCUGUAAUGACCCAUUUUUGCCCGGACCCAAAACUAAAUAAAUAAAACCCAAAAUAAAAAAAUAAACAGUCCAUAGUCAAACAAAAUUACAAGCCCAAAUGCCCAAUAAUAAUAAAAAAACCUAGAGGCCUGAUUGGCCCACAACUUAAACAUUUCAGCAAAAACCCUAACUCCCCCAACCCUAGGUGCGCCGCACCUAGGUACACCCCUAGCCGCCGCCGCAUGCACACCAGCCUCCUCACGCGCGCUACCACCGCUGCACGCCAUCACCAUGCUCGUCUAACACUUCCAAAAAAAAUUUGAAUGCAACAACAGAGAAGUAUGCGAGCAACAAUAGCAGUAAAUAGCAAACAAACAAAGAUUAGAAACAAACAGUCUUGAUCCGGCUAUAAAAGACUAAAUUACACAAUGUGUUGUUUAGGUUAAUUUUUUUUAUAAUAAAGACUAAAUGGAUAUAAUUUAUAAAUGUUGAGGGUUAAAGUCGUUAUCAUGUCAAUUUUAAAAGUAUCCACCUUUAGCCAACUGGUGGCCCAAAAAGAUAAAAUUGAAUAGUUAUGAGAUUAUUUUGUAACUUUUCAUAGUUGAAUGACCAAAAAAAAUACUAUUACUUACGUGAUUACUAGUGUAAAUUACCCUUAUUAUUAUUAAAAGAAAUAAAUUCAUUAAUAUUGCUAGUUCAUGAGCUACCCAUUAUCAAACCUCCCUGCGUGGUGAAAUAGACAUAAUUUGUUGAGGGAUAAAAACAAUAUAAAUAAUAUUUUUCAUCUUAUUAUAGAGUAUUUUUAAAUUAAAUAUUGUUGAACAACUUUUAACUUUUGGAGAAAAAUAUUUGAAGUGUCGUUUGUUGGGCAUCUAGUCAAAUUCUCAACAAUGGUUAGUAAUGUUCCCGGUAAGGUUUUGUCUUUUGUAUUUGCCAAAGGUCCUAAAGGGUUCAUGAAAGGGGAACAUCUCAUUUGGUAGAAAUACAACAUGCAUUGCUCAUGUAAGAAUCCAUUUUUAGUGGUACUGGAAACGACGGUUUCAAAAUCUCAUUUUUUGAUGAUUGAGUUUGUGAAUAUUAUUUUUUAAUAUUUACGAGUUUAUCUUAGUGUCAUAUGAUUUUUUGUCCUGAAAUUUUAGUGAAACGAUUAGUAAUUAAAGUAUAAGGACUAAACCAUAAAAACCUUAAAGAGUUAAUUGUUAUUAAUUUUAUUGGUUUAAAGGCUUGAAAAGUAUUAAGCCAAGUGUUGAAAUGGCAAAUUACUCUUUUUAAUAGAUAGUGUAUGGUUUGGUAAGCUUUGUUUACUAAAUCAUGCAAAUUUUAUAAUUAAUAAAUAAAAUGAAAUGAGAUAAUAAUAGAACAUAUUGUGGUGGAACGAAAGAGAGAAGGGCUAUUCCAUUUUUUUUCUUUUUUCAUUCAUCUUCUUCACGAAACAAGAAGAAAGAAUUAGGGCUCUUAAAGUUGAACUUUUGGCCUUGUGCAUGGUACGAAAAUUUAAUUCUUUUCUUGUAAUUUUUAUGUUUUUGAGAUCAUUUUAUUUUGAUUUAGCUAACCUGGGUAUUAAAUCGUAAAACUAUUAAAGUUUUAAAAAGUUACCAUUGUUGUUCUUUGAAGCUUUUGAUGUUCAAUAGAUGAAUGUUAAGCUUGGAAAUAAAAUAGGGACUAGUUUGUAAAGAAAAAUUGGUUAAUUUUGACUCUAGGAACUCAAAUGAAAUUAUUUCAAAACUGUCAUGGAAUUUCUAUACUUAUGGCUUUUAGUGAGUUAUAAAAUGAAGAAAUUAAAAACGGAGUUAAAAACAGAGCUUAAAUGUGAAAGAUAUGAUUGUUUCAGUUUUAAGAACUAAAUUGAAUAAAAUGUGAAACUUUAAAAUUUUUAAAAAAUAAAGAAAAUAGAUCCAUGCAUAUCAUAUUAUGAUAUUAAAUUUUUGGAAUUGAUAAUUUGAAUUAGAAUUAUUAUAUAGAUCAAGAAUUAAAUCAAUCGAAAUAUAAAAGUAGAAAAAAAUUAUAGAUUAAUUUUAGAAUCAUAUUUAAGUAAGUUCAUAUGUAUUAAUUUAUAUUGUAUUUGUUUCCCUCUCUACAUGGGGAACUUUAUGAUGUUUGGUUUCUUCUUUGAACCAAAAGAAAAGCUAAGAAAAAGAUAUUAUAAGGCAAAUAAGGCAAAUCCGAUUAUAUGAUCUACAAUUUACAAAGUAGGGUUAGAGUGAUUAUAAGUGUCCUAUAAAAUAUAAUAAAAUAUUAAAUAUAAAUUUAUAAAUUAAAUUAGAUACAUAACAAAUUUUCAAGUUUACUUGUGGAAUUGAAAAAAGUAUAUUACCAAUUUACACAAUACUCAUAAUUGCUGUUAUAUUAUUAUAAUAUACUUGAAAUUCAGAAAGAUUUUUUUAUUGAAAAAAAAUCAAUACUGAUUAGUUAUGUAUCCAGUUUUAUUUUCUUAUACCAUUAGAAAAAGACAAGUGAAGAAGAAUCGUCCAUAAAUUUGCAGUCAAUAGUUAAUGGUUCCAAUUUAUUUGUCCUGAAUUUUGACUUUUGUAACUGAGAAUCCACAUUUUCUUUUUCAAUAGAAAAGAAAGGGAAAUUUUUUAGAUAUUGUGUGUCUUAAGAUGCUAUAACCAAUUGAAGGUAUGGACAUUAGAAAAGAAAGGGAAAGUUUUUAGAUAUUGUGUGUCUUGAGAUACUAUUGUAAUACCCCGAAAAUUUCUACAGUAAGGAAAGUAAGAUAACAUCUCUGAUAUAGUAAAAUAAGGAAAUAAAGUGCUAAAAAGAGGUAAUUUUGAGUUAUGGCAAUAUUGGGAAGUAAAUUAUAACAUAUUAAUUCAAGAAAGGAUUAAAUCGCAAAACUGAGAAAAGUUUUGUUACCCAAGAGUAAAUACUUAAAAGUUGAGGGGUUAAAGUGUAAAUUUGAAAAAGUUGAAGGACCAAUGGUGUUAAUAUUUUAAGGGUGGAGUAAUCUAGAAACUAAGAAAAAUGGAUGGAUUAGGACCAAAUUGAAAAAGGUGAAGAAGUUUGAGGGACUGAAUCACAAUUUUACCAAAUUAAGUGAUGACUCAAUGAUGGAAUUUUAAAAUAUCAUAAAGGGCAAAAUGGUCAAUUAGAAGAGAGAGAAAUCUAGAAGAUAAUGAUGAUGUUGGAGAUAUUUUAGAUUAAUAAAUAAAUAAAUAUUAGUUUAUUAAUAUUUUAAUUUGAUUUUUUUAAAAUGAUAUUAUUUUAUUAUUAAUUUAUUUAGUAUAUAUAUAUAUGUGGAAAGAAGGAUGAAAAGUAGCCAUCCCCACCAUUUUUUCAUGCAUUAACGUGAGAAGAAGAUGGGAAGAAAGAAAGCUUUGCUUUCUUUACAAUUUGGUCCUUUCACCAAAAAUCCACCAUUUUUACUUAGAAAUCAAAGAAAUUUCCAUUGCCAACAAGAGAGAAAAUUGACAAAGAGACUAUGGGGAGCUAGAAUAUCAAGUUAGAUUCAAGAAAUAGAGGCUGGAGGAGAGAGAAAAUCAAGUUAAAGAUUGAAGUCAAUUGAGCAAGGUAAGAACAUCAUGAUUUCAAUAUAUUUUUGAGUUUGAUAUUAUUGAAAAAGUGUGAGAUUGAUGUUAAUGUAGGGUUUUAUUAUAUAAAUUUAUAUGUUAUUGAUAUGUUAGUGAAGAGAAAAUAAGAGCAAGUGUUGAGAAAUAGUGUAAAAAAAGAAAAUAAGAGUGUUAUAGACUUAGUAAUCAAUAUUCUGCACUAAAGCAGUUUUGGACAACAGCAGUAGGUUAAUUUUGAAAAAUCACCAUAAAUUGUGGAAAUCGAAUUAUAGGAUGAAUAAAAUAUUACAUUAAAUCUUAUUGAGUCUAGUUUCACAUAGAAGAAAUAGUGUAAGCAAUGAAAUUAUAAAUUAUGAGAUAUAAUAGGUUAUGUGAGAUAAGGUCAGAAUGAUUUUGAGUUCCCCUGUUCUGACUUUGGAAAAUCAUUAAAAAUUGUAAAAAAAUAAUUAUGGGAUAAAAUUUAUAUUAUUAGAAUCUUUGAUGAGUCUAUUUUCAAAUAAAACAAACAGAAACAUCAGCCAAAUUCUGUACAAUUAGAUAAUUCAUUUUUAGUAAAGAGUGGUCGGAACUGUCAGAUAGUGAAACAGGGGAAACUUUAAAGAAUAAACUGUACCAUUUGGCUGAACCAAAAAUUCUGAAAAUUUUAUGGCAAGAAGAUGUGUGAGUCUAGUUUCAGGGAAAAUUAACGGAUCUUAAUUUUGAUUUCUUUAGCUCAAUAUACAAAUAAUAUAGUGACUAUGACUCAAAUGGACAGCUUUGAAUAAAUUUACAAGAAAAUAGUGAAAAUUAUAGACAAUAUUACUUAUAAGCAUGUUAUAUAAAUUAAGGAUGUGGAAUGGAGAGGAGGAGGAGGAAAAUAAAUGUAUGAAUAUUAUGCUAUCAUGGAUUUGCAUUACAAAUGGUUAAUUUGCAUGAUUUGAGUUUGAGGACUAAAUUGAAUAAAAGUAAAACUUUAGGGGCAAUUUUGGAAAAAUGUAAAAAAUGACCAAUUUGCAUGAAAUGAGUUGUUUUAUUAAAAUGAAAAAUUAAUUUAGAUCAAGAUCGGGUAGAAAAUCGAGAAAAUGGAAAUUUACCAAAAUGCUCUUGUAUUUUAGUAUUUUUACAAUUUAGCCCGGUAAGUUCGUGUAACUUGAAUUAUAUGCUUAAAUGCUUGAAAUGUAUUUUUAUUGAUGUGAAUAUGAUUUGGAUGUUUAUUUUAUGAUAAUUGAUGAAGUAUUGAUAUUCUUAAUGAAAAGAGAAAAUAAAUCCCGGUUGAAUGAAAGGAAAAUUCGAUGGAUCUCUAAAAAGGAAUUGACGGUAAAAAGGAUCUAGCCCGGACGGGUGAUCCUAUCCUGAUAUAGCCCUCCCGAAGAAUAUGUGUGAAAAAGAUCUAGCCUAGACGGAUGAUCUUGAUAUAGCCCUCCCGAAGAAUAUGUGGAAAAUGGAUUUAGCCCGAACGGGUAAUCUGAAUUAGGGUCUGAAUUUAGCCUGGACUGGUAAGUCAGAUCCAAGCUCAUUAGAGUAAUUGUCGUUGCAGGGGAUUUAGCCUGGACUGGUAAUCCCGACAAUACUCUAUGAGUUUAUAUUACAGGGGAUUUAACCUGGACUGGUAAUCCCGCUGUAAGGAUGAGGUUCGCGGGAGUGUGCUAUCUUGUAGGGGUAUUUAGCCUGGACUGGUAAUCCCGAUAUAGGAUGAGGUUCGCNNNNNNNNNNNNNNNNNNNNNNNNNNNNNNNNNNNNNNNNNNNNNNNNNNNNNNNNNNNNNNNNNNNNNNNNNNNNNNNNNNNNNNNNNNNNNNNNNNNNGAAUUGACGGACCCGGAAUUGUACACUAAAAGUGUACCUCUGAAAAUCCAUCGAAUUUCUGAGAAAUUCAACGGGAUAAAUAUGGAAAAUAAUAAGGGUAUUAGAAAAUAUGGAAUUGAAUUAUUAUUGGUAUUGAUCUGAAAUAAAUGUAACCAUUGAUAUUUAAAUGAUAUAACGGGUAAAUUUUUGAAGUGAGAUAACAUGAAUUUGAAAUGAACUAUUACUGGUAUGUACAAAAUUCAUGAAAAUGAUGGUACCUGAAUUAUCGAAAUAAUGAAAUGGAAAUGAAGCAUUAAAUUGCCUGAGUAUGUAUCGGGUUUCGUAGGCCCUAAUUAUUAUGAUCAUAAUAUUUUGAGGAUAUAUUAUGAAAAAUUAUAAAAACAUGUUAAUAAUUUUAAAAAUUUUAAUUUAGAUGAAAUUUAUAACUCGGUUAAAUACGUUUACAAGCGUAUGGGUUCUGGUAAUGCCUCAUACCCUAUUUCGGUGUUGACUACGGGUAAGGGGUGUUACAACUAUAACCAAUUUAUUUUCUUAUACCAUUAGAAAAAGACAAGUGAAGAAGAAUUGUCCAUAAAUUUGCAGUCAAUAGUUAAUGGUUCCAAUUUAUUUGUCUUAAAUUUUGACUUUUGUAACUGAGAAUCCACAUUUUCAAUAGAAAAGAAAGGGAAAGUUUUUAGAUAUUGUGUGUCUUGAGAUACUAUAACCAAUUGAAGGUAUGGAUCUGAUCUAAAAAUGAAAAAGAAAAGGGAGAUACUCUCCUUUUUUUGUUUGUAGCCUUCUGGCACAUGGCCGAGCGGUAAGGUGGGGGACUACAAAUCCCUUAUUCCCCAGUUCAAAUCCGGGUGUCGCCCGAUCAAAAAAAAACUCGAAAUCCUAACGUCUCCUAACGUCUAGGAUUCAAGGAAAAACUAAAGUAGUGGAAGGGAAUCAGUAAAUCUUGAUAUGGGAGCCCCCCUUACUAAUGGAGUGGCUACUAGAGGAGCCUUGAAUUAGAUUGGAUAACGGGAAUGUCUAAUUAACACAACAUUUAAAAGUUUAUUAUAAAAAAAAGUACACACACAACAUUCAACACAACAAUUUUUCUGAUUUUAAUGUUCAACCUUGACGUAGGGCCUUCUUGAUCAUUCUAUCAAAGUUGGUAAUAGAAGAUCCUCCAACGCUAAUGGCAGAUUUAGCUUUUUUCUUCCAUUCCAAUGCCUUUUGUCUUAUCCUUUUCCCAUUAUCUCCUUCCAUUAUCUCUUUAAUAAGAGCCUCCACAUUCUUACGCUUUACGUCAGGGUUGAUUUCCAUUCCAUUGCCCCAUGUGGUGCACGAAUAUCGACAAUUCGUUGCCCAUUAUCUCCUUCCAUUAUCUCUUUAACAAGAGCCUCUACAUCCUUACGCUUUACGUCAGGGUUGAUUUCCAUUCCAUUGCCCCAUGUGGUGCACGAAUAUCGACAAUUUGUUUGUUGAUCAACAAAGAAAGGCCAACAAAUUAAAGGCACACCUUUGGAUACAGCUUCCAACAGAGAAUUCCAUCCACAGUGUGUCAAGAAAACGCCAACCGCUGGGUGGGACAACACUUGUUGUUGGGGACACCAACUUGUUAUGAAGCCUCUUCCUUUUAUUGCCUCCAUGAAUUCUCUUGUAAAAACAGCCGAUUCUCCCAUCACAACGUCAGGCCUAACUACCCAUAAAAACGGGUAUUUACUAUUUGCAAGUCCCCAAGAAAAUUCUUCCAAAUGAUGGUUCGACAUCACUGUUACACUCCCAUAAUUCACAUACACCACCGACUUGGGUUUCAUUGUGUUAAGCCAUUCGAUGCAACUUGUAAAAUAAAUUAAAUAAAUUAAAUACAUAACAAUUUUUUUAAGUUUACUUGUGGAAUUAAAAAAAGUAGAAUAUUGAUUUAUCAAAUGCUAACCCAUUUAUUUAAUAGUAUAAUAUAAAAUUAAAAAAAACAUACACAAAACAUACAACACAACAGUAUUUUGAUUUUAAUGUUCAACCUUGACGUAGGGCCUCCUUGAUCAUUCUAUCAAAGUUGGUAAUAGAAGAUCCUCCAACGCUAAUGGCAGAUUUAGCUUUUUUCUUCCAUUCCAAUGCCUUUUGUCUUAUCCUUUUCCCAUUAUCUCCUUCCAUUAUCUCUUUAAUAAGAGCCUCCACAUCCUUACGCUUUACGUCAGGGUUGAUUUCCAUUCCAUUGCCCCAUGUGGUGCACGAAUAUCGACAAUUCGUUUGUUGAUCACCAAAGAAAGGCCAGCAUAUUAAAGGCACUCCUUCGGACACAGCUUCCAAGAGAGAAUUCCAUCCACAAUGUGUCAAGAAAACGCCAAUUGCUGGGUGGGACAACACUUGUUGUUGGGGACACCAGCUUGUUAUGAAUCCCCUUCCUUUUAUUGCCUCCAUGAAUUCUCUUGGCAAAAUAGCCGAUUCGCCCAUCACAACACCAGGCCUAAUUACCCAUAAAAACGUGUAUUUACUAUUUGCAAGUCCCCAAGCAAAUUCUUCCAAAUGAUGGUUCGACAUCACUGCUACACUCCCAUAAUUCACAUACACCACCAACUUGGGUUUCAUUGUGUUAAGCCAUUCGAUGCAACUUGUAUCCUCCUUCCAUAGGCUUGAAUUUAGUGAGUUAUGUUGGAUUUCAAGUAGGUUCCUACUUAGGGAGGUGAGUGGACCAAUUGCAUAAAUAUUAGGGGACUUGGAAGCAAUUACUUGUAGCACUUCUUUCUCGAACUCAUCGAAUGUGUUAAAGAUUAUUGAAGAAGAUUCUAAGCAUUCUUGUGAUACUUCCAUGAGGUAAUUAAACAUGGUGUCUUCGGGGUCGGUGGUUCUUAUGAAGCUUGGAAGGUCCUUGAGGCGCAUGUUAGGCAUACCAGGGAUCCAAUCAAUGGCCAUCUCAAGUGUCCCAUCGCUAACAAAG